rnacentral:lncRNA from 1 species
UCUCAAUUUUGAAAUAUACUUCAGCUAUCGUUGCGAAACGAUACUUACUCAUUUAUUUUUUAGAGUUAGAGAUUUUAUUUGAAUAUCUAAAAUUCGAAGAAAAAACUCGAUAAUAAAUGGUCGUAAACUUUCCAAAUUCUCCGCCCGAAGAGGAGCCAUGGAAACACAACAAGGAUGUCGUGGACUGUUAUAACGCAUACACGUGUCCUCAUUUGCUUUGUCUAUAACUCCAAAAUAUCUACCUAUCAACUUCAACCAAAGAUUUGUCUCCCAAAAUAAUCCAACCUGGCACGGCAGACGUGUAUCGAAACUUAGAGUCAGAUUCAUGAUUUAAAUUUUAUAAAUUUAAUUUUUAAAAUAUAAUAUUAUGUAAUUUGAAAAACCAUAAAUUUGAGCAUAUUAUUAUAAUUUAUUGUAAUUCUAGUUGGGUUUUAUAUAUAUAUAUAUAUAUAUAUAAAAAGAAUUGUUAUUAAUAUCACCUAUCGUAUGAUAUUUAAUUUUAAUUAUAUAAUAUUAAAUUAAUUUUUUAAAAAAAAUUAAUAAUAAAUCAUAUAAAUUGAAGACAGAGCCAGUAAUCUAAAAGAGUUGGAAUGCGUGCACUUGAUAAAAGGGUGUUCCUAAUCUAAAUUCAUUCCCUUUGACCCAUAAAAAUUAUAUCUAUAUUUCCUUGUUCUAAUUUUAAAAAAAUAAAUUUAGCUUUAAAUUUAAGUUUUAGUAUUAAUCAUAGUAUUUUUCUCUUAAAUUUAUUAUAUUCAGAAAAUGAUGAUGAAAUUCUCAUUUUAUUUAUUAUUUUGUCAAGUAUGUGCCAAUUUAAUAUUGUAUAUGGUAAGUAAUAAUAAGUGGAGGCGUAGAAAAUAAAAUAAUAUACUCGUGCAAAUUAUCUUUCGUGUCAUCCUGUGCAUUAUACAAGAGGUAAGAAGGGAAUUAAAAAUAAAUAUAUAUCGGACCUUUCUUACAAGUUACAACCAUUAGUAUAUUAUUUGUUCACAUUAUUAAAAUUUUAUAUGUUUAAAUUAUUCGUUAUUUUGAUUAAUUAAUUUUUUCUGGUCUCGUCUAAUUAUUUUUUUGGAAGUAUAAAUAUUGUAAUGUGUAGCAACACAUUUUCUAAGAAAUAUAUUCAUAUCAUACUUGAAACUCAACAAAGAUAACGAAAUAAAUAUUAAAAAUAUCUUAAAUUUGACAUAAAAUUAAUAAUUUUAGCUUUUAUUUACUGUCGGUCUUAAAAAUAUAUUUCUAUUUGAGUAGCUAAACUUAGAUAUGUACGCCUCUGAUGAGUCACCUGUCAAGGCAAGUGAUCUUAAAUUUUUAUAGGAGCAUGAUAUACUCUUAAUAGAAAAUCUAAAGAAGUGUUGAAAAUACUCUUAAGCUUGGCAAAAAUUAAAGAGUGCAUGUAAAUUAAGUUAAUUAUUGCAAUAUCAGAAGAAGUACCGAAAACACAUUUAAAUUUGUUAAAAUGGAACUAAUAAUUUAUAUCGAAUCUAUAAGUGAUUAACUGAUUUAAUUUUCACGUCCUACAUUUUUAUUGGGGCCUACUCUAAUAAAUAUACUUUUAUUUAGUUUUGAAAAUAAAAUAGAGAAUGGUUGUAUUUUGUAUUGCGGCGUACUUUUUGUGAGCCCAUAUGGUAUAUGGUCCCAAUUACUCCUAUAUAAAUAGCCUCCCAACUUCCUCCCACUUUCUCUAAACUACCAUCCAUUCAAUUCCCCAAAAUCCCUUAUUUUUCCAUCCAAAAACAACAUGAAGAAAUCACUUCUCUUAGCAGCCUCUGUUUCUGCUGCCGCCACCGCCACCGUCUCUUCUGUAUCCAAAGUUCGAAUUUCUCUUCACAAGGUAAACAUUCAAGUUUUUUUUAAUGGAUUUUGCUCUGUUUUCUCUGUUUUCAGUAGCUUUAAUGUCGUUUCUGUGUAGAGAGAGUUAUCUCUUCUUUUGUUUUUUUCGAAUGGAUUUUGCUCUGUCUCUAUGUAGUUUUAAUGUCGUUUGAGUGUAGAGUAAGUUAUCUCCUUUUGUUUUUUUAUUUGUUAAAAUCAAAUCUUAUUUUGUUAAGCAAUGAAUUUUAUGAAUCGGAAGUGAGAACUCAGUUAUCCGGUGCUGAGAGUUAGUAGAUCUCGCUGGAAUUAGCGUUGAGUUUCCUGCAGUUUGAAAUUUGAAUUUAUGACUUUUGACUUAAAAACACUUAAAAUAAGGCAAUCUUACUAUUAUUUUGAAUUCAGAUGUUGAAUUUCUUUCCUUUUGUUUCAGGACGAUAAUUUGAAGAAAACUGAUGAAGAUUGUUCAAAAUCGGUGAAAGCAUCAACAUCUACAGAUAAAUUUGCGCCCAGAUUUGAUGGAUUGAGGUUUAUAGAGACGUUGGUCACUGCUCACAGAUAAGUUUACAAAAGAGGCCCCCAAAAAAAAAAGUUUUGGAUGGAAAAUAUAUAAGUGAAAAAGGAGGAAUAUGAUAUUGUAAUUUAUACAUGAUUGUUUCAAGGAUAUAUCAAAUUUCAAAAAAAAUUGUUUCCCAAGAGUUUUUUUUUAAAAAAAAUCAGAUUUGUCUGAAGAACGUAUGAUGUCGCUGUUCAAAUUUGUUUAGAUUCUUGACAAUAUUUGUAUUUCCAAUAGGAGUUUUUAUGUUUGACAAAAACUACAGCUUAAAUUAUAUUUUAUGUUCUUUUUAAUUGGGGUUAAUGACAUGGAUUCACUAGAAAAAGUGUACGAUUCAGAUUUAGAAAGUUUACCAAGUCCGGAAUUGAGUACGAAGUUAAUGAGUCCAGUCAAACUUACACAACUUGGACAGCUAGAAUGAUCCAGUAGUUUCUGAAAAUCAAAAUUUUUUUAUCUGAUUCAUGAUUUUACAUUUAUAGAAAACUUUACAGAUUUGUUUAUGGAUAUUUGAGAAUUUAUUUUCAUUUCUCUGAAAUCGUGAAGAAGACAUGUGCAGUCCAAUGAAUUUCAAUCUCUUAUCUCUCGGCUCGACGCUUUCAAAUUUCAAUAAUACUCAAAUGUGGAACAACAAAAAGAGAUAGAUAGAGACAUGCUAGUUUAACAACAAGAACAUCAAUUCAAUGUCAUCCAACUAGACAUUGAUUCAUUAUGACAUGCACUUUUAUGUUAUUAAAAAAAAAUCAAUAAUUGAACUCUCUUGACUUAAGUGAUAUCAUCAAGGAUAUAAUUUAUAAAAUCUAAGAAAUAAUGUAUGGCAUUUUAAAAAAGUCUGUGCAACAUGUGUUGAAAGUAUGUACAUAAAGACUUCAAUGAAGAAGCAAAACUACAGAGAAACCAAAACAUUGUGUUAAAAAUUGGGAAAAUUUGAAAUUGUCCAAAAUUAUGUGGAUCUAUCUCGUACUUGUAAUUCAUAUAAUUCAUAUUACUGCUCUAUGACAACAUGUUAGUCCGAUUGAUGUUCUGCUGUAUAUAUGUGGCCUGGUUUCUUGCCUUUGGCCUCACCAUUUGUCUGUCAACAGUGAAAUGUUUGUAAAGACGCGUUUUUUACCUCUAAAAAUGCUGAUAUUAAUCUGCCAGAAAGGUGAAACGACUGUUGCCCAUUGUUAAAAGAUGUCAUGAUUGUGUCUUUCUUUACGGGUGAUGGACCUGCCCAUGCGAAGACGUCGAGUUGUGAGUGCUUCGAACAAAACCUCCACUGCAUCUUCAAGUGCUUUGGCUUGAUUAUCCAAUCCAUGGGAAACAAAAUUUGGAAGGUCAUGCAGCUCAUCGAGGAGGCCUAUGGCUGCAGCUGCUGUACAUGUACGAUCCCAUGAUGGUUGGGGUCUGCAUUUGGCCAAAACGUUAGAUAUGACUCCGGAAAAGCCAAAGAGAAAGUAAUAAAGAUGAAUGAGUCUGCUGCAGAUUUGGGAUCAUGUAUCCUACCUGAGUUUAUGCAUCAAGGAUGCUCCUGUGUUCAGCGUUAUGCAAGGAAUCUCCUCCUCCCCCCACAUCACCUUGUACCGAUCCUAAUCAUUAAACAUAUCAGAUCAAUUGUUUGUCAUUGAGAAAUCGAUUCACAUUUCCCAAACUCAAAUAAAUCCUAACAUCAAUGCAACUUUGGCUACACAGGUGAAACUAAAGAAAUACAAAAACAGCAUACCCAGUGUAGUCCCACAAGUGUGGUCUAGGGAGGGUAGGAUAUACACAAACCUUAUUACCCCUCCCUACCUUUGUAGGGUAGAGAGCUGUUUCUAAUAGACCCUCAGCUCAAAAGAGGUGAAACUAAAGAAAUAUUGUGGAUAAUUCGUUGUAACAAGUUUUACUCACUUAAAUCCAACUAAAAAUCUUGUACUUCUUACACAUGUGCCACUCUUUUGUACUUCUUAUGACUUGGGAAGUACCUCCAAAUAAGAGAAUACAAAUAUGGAGCGGAUAACAGCACUAGAUGAAUAACCUCUCCUACAACUGUCCAUGCAAUUUAGUCAUUCUGAGAGAGAUAAUGAAGGGAUGGGAGGACUUCGACAAAACAUUCAACAUAUUUGCUUGGGAGGGGCGGUAGGAUAAGAUUGUGGUAUCAGACUUUGGUUUUACACCAUUAAGGUCAGAGCUAGAGAUUUUUUCCAUCUCAAGUGAGAAAAAUGCAAGUGUGGCUAAUGAAAUUAGAGAGAUGGUGUCCAGGGCAUUUGAGGUAUCCAGCUCCGAAGGCACAUAUGAGACUUGAGAUUGUUCAAAUGAUAAUAGAUACUAACUUGCCUGCAUCAAACAAAACAAGAAACAAGACAGGUGGAUUUGGAAACGGAAUGCUAGAAAGUUCACCAUCAAAUCAUAUAUAUAUUCUCUUAAGAGGGAAGAGCCAUCUUUAAAAACUAAGGAUAAAUAGAAUACAUAUUUGCUGCUGUUAUUUUGUCCAAGCAAGUUGAUGAAGAUGUCAAUCAUUUGCUCAUUCACUGGACUACCAACCAGUGGAAUCUCCUUUUAGCGAUUUCGGGUGCCCUUUAAAGUAUAAGUUCUAUAUAAAUUAAAGAAACAAAAGUUCUGCCCUUUUGGCAGCUAUGCAAGUCAAUUAUCUUAUUAUUUCUCGUAUAGAGCUUCAUUAUUAAAUUUAAGUGGUUCUAACAUGCACAACUGCAAUUGAAACAGUGCAUAUAACGUAAUUAACUUUAAAGCAACUAAAGUAAUCAUAACAGUAGAGACAAAACUUUUUCAAAUGUCCAUCAAAAAUGCUUUUUAAAUGUCCUGUAAUAUAAGUACUACAAUCUAAUUGGUUCAACCUCAAGUUAUUAUAUCAUUCUUUUGCACCCAAGGUUUUCCAACCUUUUUAUAUAAUAUAACUAACUUUAAAGCAAGUGAAGUAAUCACCACGGUUGAGGUGCGUGCAAGCUGACUCAGACACCACGGUUACUAAAAAACAAAUCCUAUCAUUACCCCACCCCACCCGACAAUGUUCAUGGUAAAAAAUUUUGUUAGUUAAUGAUCUGAUUUGAAUUUAAAAAAUAAGAGUUACGUUGCGAGCUGAAAUACCUUUAAACGGCUGAACAUUGCACCCGAAUUGCUCCACGUCCCAUCAAUUAGAAUAAAAUUCAAGGAAUGGGCUCCAUCUGCCUAUAUAUUAGCAGCAUAAAGAGUCAAUAUUCAUACAAUAGAAAAUGAGAACCAUCACAUAAACAAAAGUUCACAUGAAUGAUCACUUCCAUGUGGUUUGAGAAGCAAAACUACAAGUCAAACUGCCAUUAUAUGAAACUAAUAUUGGCAAGCACUUGUUCAAAAGAAACUGCAUUGCACCAUGAAGAACAUUAUCAUCCUAUAUAAUUAGGUACAUUCCACGCAAUUAAGUCUUUGUCAUUGUACUUAAUAGCAUAGAGGUAAAAACCCCACAUCUCCAACCAUUAGGGAGGAAAUUGAUAUGCAAAGGGAUUUAAAUGGGAAAGGACCCCUCUUGAGCUCCUAAUUGUGUGUGUUUGUGGUGGGGCUUUGGGAGAGUGAAAUUUACCAUGGUUAACUCAAAGACUGGCACGAAAAACAUAAAGACAGAAUCUUUCAUUUAAGGGAAGCCAAAUAGUUGAGAAAAACAAGAAGCAAAAUAGCUUAUCCCUCUUUUUAUUCUGAAGAGAUAGAGAAGUAAACCAAUUUACAUAUCUAAAGUUUCCUUGUGGGUAACUCCAUCAUAUUCUACUAAGGCCUAAGGUAUUGGGAUGUCUUUUCACUUUUCCCAGUCUCGAAAUCAUUACCCUGAAUUGCUUCCAGAGAAGAAAAGAAUGAGAAAACAACUUGCUCUUUUGUUUCUACUUUUACUUCCCCACAAUCAUCUUGUCAAUGACAACUUUAGCCAUAUUACCAAGUAAAAAGUUAGGAUGGCGUACCAUCUCAGGAUGGUUUUCUACAUUUGCAAAAGAAAGCCCAGCCAUGCUAUCCUUGACAGAAUUUGUUGGUGCAUUCUUGUUGGGAUAAAGACACCAAACCUUGUCUUUUCCUGAAAAUGAUGUAAAAUGCAAAUCAAAAGGUAAUCGCAGGUUCUAAUAGAAAAGGUUGAACAGGAUUCAAUCAAGUAAAGCUUAACUUGUUUAAAUAGAUAAACAGGACACAUAAAGAUAACUUGGCUCCACAUGCUAUCCCUCUUUUCAUGCUACAUAGAUGGUGCCAAUUAUAACUGAUGCAUUAUACAACAUCCAAAAACUUGUGAUCAUGAAAACUGGAUAGAAUAGUGAUCAUGCUCCCGUUACCAUGAAUAUUCAAACAUGAUAUCUAAAGUUCAUUUUUUCCAUUAUCUAAUGUUAUUGAAUGCAUCAUACAUGAUUAUGCCGACAAGUCCAUUAGUUAAAUAAGAUAGUUAAUAACUGAAUUGUCCUCUUUACUGUUGUCAAGAUAUUGUUAGGAAAAACUGAGAAACAUGUUAACAAUUAGGAGGCAGGAAGCUAACAAAAGUUUGGCAACAUUUUCUACUAACGCAGACAAUUCAAAGACACAGUGAUCCAAGAAUUUGACAAUAUCAUGACUUGUGCAUGUUAGAAACAGACCACCCACCCACUAAUUUACUAGAAGUGAUUAACAUGCUUAAUGGGGCAAAGGGCAGCCCGGCGCAUUCACGCAGGGUCUGGGGAAGGGCUGCACCCCGAGGGGUGUGAUAUAGACAGCACACCCUAAUGCAAACAUUAUUGGCUUUUUGCACGGCUUGAACCUGUGACCUAUAGGUCACGCGGAGAAAACUUUUACCGUUGUUCCAAGGUUCCCCUUCUAUUAGUUUGGCAAGACACCUCAAUUCUGUCUUUAACCCUAGGAUGCGAAACACAUGCUUACACAGUCCAAUUUGGUUAAUUACAUCUGUUGUUCUGAUACUUGUUAGCUACAUAUUGUAUGAUAUUUUUCUAUUCAUAUUCAGCAUUGGCAUGAUAUGUUCUGGGGUAGACAGAGUCACAUGUACAAAGGACACAACCCCUCACCCUCUUGCCCCAAUCAGAUAACAAUUUUGUAUCAUUUUACCAACCACAGUAAGCUGUGCACUCCAAGAUUCUAUAAACAAGCGGCCUUUUCACAUAAAAGACAAGCAUCUACUUUAGGAAUCAUGUGAAGGUUAUGAGCACUCUCGGACGUCUUCAAUAUUCAUGCUAGGACAUACUCUACAGCUAUUUCUUCAUGGUAGAGUGUUAAAUUGGUGAAUUUAAAAACAAAUGAAAACCUGCAAGCUUGAGUGCAUCCCACAUCAUAUCCUCAUGUUCAGUUAUUCCAUAAAGACACAAACUAGCAGCGUGGACACCAAAUACUUGCCACAACAACUUCCCUGUGUUAUUUUGUCGCAAAAAAUCCUGCAAAGAUGGAAAAAACACCAAUUAUGGAUCAUGUAGAUUGAAAGAAGUGAGUGUAAAACAUAAGGAAAUGAAAGGUUUUAAUGAAAAAAAUGCAAAAGAAAAAAAAAAGAUGAAGACAGAUGGUAAAAUUUUGUACCUUUGGGUGCAUGUACAACCAAAACCGCAUCCGAUUCCAAAGAGGACAUGUUAUGAGUUUUGAGCACAUACAAUCGGCCGAGCAAAGCCAACACUUGAGAAUUUAAAACAGAACCAAAACCAAAUGCGAUACCAUCAAAACCUAUUCGUAUGUGAAAAGAAGUCAACUUUUCUAAGGGACAAUCUGCAGAUAACAGCAAUUUUUCAUGCUUUAAUGCAGAAAAGAUCCCACAAACAAAUAAAAAAUGUGAAACAACCCUGAUUUGAUGAGCAAAUGUUUACCUUCUGACAAAGGUAACCCCUACUUCCAAGCACGCGACAUGCAAUUUGGCGAGCUGAAAAGAACUGGAGUUUCUGUUCAGAAUCACCUAAAGAUUGAUAUUUUGCUCUAUGCUUUUUAUCCUCUUGCACCUUGAAGUCACCCUAAAGAUCAGAUCACAGUUAUGAGCUAAUAAAGGGCAAUUAGUUAUUUUUUGAUCAGUUAAAGCACGAGUAAUUCUGAAAGAGGUUAACAAGCCUGAGGUAGAGAUAUAAAGUUCCUAAUUAGGAUUAGUUAAUCGUUUUCAACUGAAAUCACCAAAGUACAUGUAUUUACCAUAACCUCCACUGCAUUAUAUGUUUGAUCUCUCUUUUCUUUUGCUCAAGAGGAUUGACAAGUAAACGUUCCCCAGUUGAGAAGUGACUAAAAGUUGGUGUCAUUCAAAAGUAACAAACUUAACUCCAAAUUUGUUUUAUCGUGUAAUUUAAUAAUCUUAUUCAUUUUAGUAAAUUCUUUUUUCGUUUUCAACCAUCAGUUUAAUUUACACAUUGUUGUAAUUUUAAUCAACCCAAGAGUAAAGUCAAAAUAUAAAUACAAAGAGAAUCUUUCUCUUCAUAAAUAUAAAAAACAAGAGAUAUUCCAAGGAAAUACAAAAUACAACAUAUUAGUAUGGACAUUAUGUUGUCAAAUAAAAAUUUUUAUUGAAUAAUUGUUGUAAAACGUACAAUUGAUAACGGAGCGCUAUGGGAUGGAAAAGUAUUCUUUUUUUUAAUGAUGUGGUGUUUGGAUAUACAACUUGACUAUCCCAAUGGGGGUACCUGCUACUUCCCACCGGCAUAAGUAUCGUAGUUUUACCAAGGCUUAGACAUAUACUUUUUUGUUGUUGAGAUGGAAAAAACUAUCUAGUGAUUUUUUCUCCCCGGAAUAUGAUCCCUCGUCUCUUAAGUUUGCACCCACUUCAUCGACCACUAGACCAAACCAUCCAGUAAGGGAUGAAAAAAUACUUAAUAAGGUGAGAGGCAUGUUUUAUAGGAAGACUGUGAAACUAACAAUAUUAUAUGGGAGUGAAUGUAAGACUAGGGAAUCCCAAUAUACAAAAUAUAAAUGUUGUACCACUACGGAUUAUAAAUGAUCAAAUCUGAUAAGACAAUUGAAAUAGCAAAUAGAGAGGAUAAAGUGAGAGAAGAAAGCCUCUUAAUGUAGACCUCCCGAUGAACCGGUUUUCAGGUACGAAAUUACAAUGAUUGUUAGUAAUAGAAAUGGGUGUGGUAGAAAAACUUACAAGAACAGAAUUUGCCUAAAAAGAUUUUAAAAAAUACAUAAGCAAUGCAAACCUAAUUAAGAACACAACAUAACAAAAGCAUAAUAUCUCUACAAGUGAUACCAGUUUUAGUGAACAAAUACACUAACACUCGUAUAUCUCUAGAGGGAUAAACUUAGUUAACCAUGUAGUAUAAGAGCGUGAUUUAGACAAACUAACCGCCUUAAAGGGAAAUAUUUACUAGUGAAAACAAACAGACAUGAAUAGAGUCCGAUACCCAGAAUAAAAAAGACCUGAAUAAAGCAUAAUGGAUUUAGAUGAAUCAUAUAGCCGACUCCAAUCGAUUCAGAAUUGAGGAGUAACUAGUUGGUGCUGAUUAAUAUUGUUUCAAAAUACGAGAACAAUCCUAGGAUAAAGCAUUAAAAAAUCGUCAAUAUGAGUGGUAAUCAAACCGACUCAUCUACACCUCAUCUUUGAAGCAUGAUAAGGAAUCCCAAAAAAGAUCGAUUGAGACUGCAUCCAGGGAUUCCACAAAGAUCUCUAAAAUCUUGUCUAGGACAAGUGAGAUCUUCAGUCUGCAUGCUUGAGAGCUACUCAAACAAAAAAGAGUCUGGUUCAGUCCAAAUUCAGGCCCGUCACACCCAACUAGAAAGGCUAAAAUAGAAGAGGGAGUAAGAGAAAACAUCUAAAACUUAUUAUUUUGUAUCAAACAGUAUAACUACUACUAGGGAAGCAGUUCUACAAAAGCAUAUAACUGUAAGUCCAUUAGUGACAUUCAGUGUUCCCCUGUUUCCUGUUUAGCAUUACAACAACAAAUUACCCACUGAAAUCCACAAGUGAAGUCUAGCGCUAUCUCGUAAAGAUUAGAGAAGCAUUGAUGAAAAAAAAAAUCAUUGGCCCUAACUACUUGUUAAGAAGUAACUUGUCUUCAAAUUAAACAACCCCUAAGCGUUUAAAAGUAGAAUUACAGUUAAUCUGAAACAAGAAUGCAGAAUGUACAAGGGAAACACAAAUGGAAAAAAAAAAAAGGAAUCAAAUCUUUUACCGAAAGUUUGCCAUGAUUUCCACCAAAGACCAUUUGGGCAUCAACGUUUUUCUCCAACAUAUUCAAAUCCUCAACAACCUGAGUAACCAUGGAAGGUACAGUUGAUGUAGUCCCCCAACCCCUCCAUUCUUCAAGGCUAAUUGCAGCUUCUCCAUUGCUUACAACUACUUUCUGGGAUUCUCUUGAAGAAGAAUGAUCUGCAGCCAUUGUUGUGGAGAAGGGUUUUGAGGAGUCCAUUGAAGUAACUGUGUUGUUGCAGAAUUGUUGAAGAGGAAAAUGGAAGGAGCUAAUGAAGCUCAAGGGUCUUGUUGCAAAAAUCAGCAUUGUAUUCUUCAAUUUUCAUCAAAUCUAAGCCCAAUUUUGUUAUACAUUCUCUCAAAAAAUCUCAUAUGUAUCAUUUUAAGCCCAUUGGGCUAGAUGGAUAUGCUAACAAUUAGCCCAAAGGAAAAUUGUAAAAUUUUCAUGGAAAAUCUACCAUAUUAAACAAACAUUUCUACCGUAUUUACUAAUUCUCCGUAUAGUUUGAAAUAGUUUCAUAUUAUCUCACUAAUUAAUAAUGAGAAAAUUGAAUGAAAUUGUAAACUAUUAAUCCAAAUUAAAUUUUAUAACUCUAGUUUGUUUUAUUUGCAAUUCGCAAUAAACAUCCAUUUUUUUUGUCAUAUGAUUGGGUAUUCAAUAAGCCAUUUUCGGUAUACAAUUAGUCAUUUUAUACAUCUCAGUAUAAAAUGUAUGAAAUGUGUUUGUGUUUGUAUAAAACGAAAGAAAAGUGUACACGGAAAUACAAAUAUAGAUAUUCGUCAUAUACACUUAUGAUUAUACAAAUAUAGAUUUUACUAUACAAAUUACAAUGUAUAAAUGAUUUUAUGUAAAGCUGAGCAUUAGUAUAAAAUUAGAUGUAUCUAGCUAAUUAUACAAAUCAAAAGCUCCAUAGCAAAUAUUAAAUUUGCUAUGAAGCAUAAUUAUGCAAACUAUAGUUAUAACUAGGAGUGGCAAACGAGUGAGUUGAGUCGAUCAAAAAAUGAGUUAAAUAAAAAUGUAAGUUACCCAACUCAACUCAUAUUUUAGAUGGGUAAAAACAAGUUACCUAAUGAAUAAUAUGAGUAAUCAUAUUUAAUCAUAUUAUAUUAGAAAUCUUGUUAAAAACUUUAAAACAAAAAAUGAUAAUUUAUCACUUCACUUCACCCUUACCAGCACCCCUACCCCCACUCCUCACUCCCUACCAGCCCCCCUCACCCUCCACACCCCCAUCCAAAAAAAGAACUAAUGAUUUUUUUGAAAAAAAAUUAUCAACCCACCUCCUACCAGUCCCCCUCCCCCUACCAACCCCUAUCCCAAAUUAUAAAUGUAAAAAAACAGUUUCAAAAAAAAACUUUCUUACUAUCUAACCCUUUAUCACUUUUUUUUGUUUGUUUGUUUUUACCCAUUCAUCCAUUUAACUAUCCAUUUUAAAAUGGUUAGUAUUGAUAUUACUCAUUUUUUAUCUAUCUUUAAAUGAGUUGGAUACCCAAUUCAUUUAAAAGGAUAAUAUGAAUGGAUACCCAUAUUAUUUACCCAUUUUGUCACCUUAACUAUAGCAUACAAAUAUGAUUUUUAUGUUUGCUAUAUGUGAAAGUUGCUACUUAAUAAUUAUAUACACAAUUUCAAGUCAAAUAUAUCUACAUACAUGUAUUUUUGCUAUUUGAUACACUAAAUUAGGUAGAGAGACGAGCAAGAAAGGAGAGCGAGGACUGAUAUAAAAGAGAGACGAGUAAGAGAAUUAGAUACAUGAGAAUCUAUUUGAAUACAGUUUAUUUUUAAAAAAAAUUAUAUCUAACUUUGAACCAUGUUACAUAAUAUUAUUAACUAAUAUGAAUAUUAAUAGUUGUACAAUAAUAUUUUUUCCAAUUCAUAGCAAUUAAAGUAUAAUGUUUUGAUAAAGUGGAUCUUUUUUGGAAAGAUUAAAAAACAUGGCAAAUUAUUAUUGUUGCAAACUAAAGAAAUAAAUUGGGCUAAAUCAUAUCCAUCUAACAAGCCCAAUGAGCUUCUAAGGCCCAAAAUACCAUGGAGUAUCUAAAAUGAAAUUUGAUUUUAGACUUUAGAUUCAAUAAAAUUUCAUAUAUCAUUAAAAAAAAAAAGUCAAACUCAACUUGUCGCUUUUUCAAAAUAACAAUUCUUUAAUUUUGAGGUAUUCUCUUAUUUAAUUUAUUUCAUCAUAUAUUAGACCACUUCUAUAACAUGCAUUAAAAUAAACUUUUGAAAUAGGAGAUAAAAUGGAUUCUAUUUAUAAAUGGAAAUCAAUGUAGCGUUUUCUUUGUUCCAUUAUUUAAUUUAUUUCAUCUAUUUCUUAUUGAGUAGUAAAUUGAAAACGAUAAUAAGGGGUGGAAUAUACUAUGGUUAAUGUACAAGAAAAAUGUAAUAAAUGGAGUAUAGAGUAUAAAUUUGGGUUUGAGAUGUUAAAUGUUAUAGAAAAUCAAAUGUAAUGAUAUAGCUUGAUAAUAUUAUUAUAAAAAUGUUAUAUACACAAUUUUUACAAAACUAAAAUUAUCUCUUUUAAGUUUACGGAUUCAUUCAUAUGUCACAAACUUAUUUAAAUUUUUAUAUCCUAACAAAAAAAAUCACAUGUCAUUUUAUUUACUUUCAACGUAAUCCAUACAUACAAGACGAACUCUAUCAUAAACAAGACUUUAUUCUAUUUAAAUAUGAAUAAAGUUUGUCUAUACCUUACUUUCUCUAUGCAUUAAAUAUUUAUUAUUGCAAUUUAAAAGAACUUUAAUUAUGAUAAUAUAAAAACCAUAAUUAAGAUUUUCUAGAACUAUCGAGAAACCAGAAACUAAACUAUUUGGCACAUGAUGUACAUUUUUACAAACAAAAGAAUAAACUAAUUUAUUUGAAAUUCAUGAAAUGAAAUUAGAAAACAAGUUUUGAACACCUAUCUAAUAUUGAUAUUCAACUCAAAGUUGAAUUUUAAAAUUUCAUGACCAAUACUGAGUUUGAAAUUAAAAAAUUAUUUCAUAAAAACACUUCCAAUAGAUUCUUCAAAAGUAAUCUUUUUUUUUAAAAAAAAAAAAUUAUUCAAGGCUUGGUUAAUUUGCCCUCGGUGAUCAAAAGGGUUGAAGAACCAACAGGAGCACUACAAGUGGUCAAUAAAUGGCCAGAAUCAACUGUCCAUAAGUCAAUAAUCAUUUAAUUAAUAGAUUAAUAAUUAUAAUCAAACCAAUUAUAGUCAAUGGAAAAUAUCCUUUUUUUAAAAAAUUAAUUCCAUGAAAUAUCAAAUAUUAUCUUAUUGUAUAUUGAAAUCAUAAUUUAAUACAAUAAAUAAUUCAAACAAUAAUAUUUUCUUCCGUCGGUCAGAUUACUUAUUCCAUCUCCUUGAUCCUUUAAUUAAUUCACACAAUUAUAUCUUAUUUAAUUUCAAAGUAUUCUAGAGGAUUUUAUUUUAUAUUUUAAAAACAACAUGGAACUAAAGAAUUAUAUACUUAACAAUAUGUACAAAGUAUGUCACUAUCAAGCCAAGUUACAAAUUUUGUACAAACCACUACUGUAUAUAACAUGUUAAAUUGUACCUUACUAAAUAAGUCCCUCUAGUCUUAAUAGCUAUCACUCACUUUGCCAUGUCAGUUGGUGUUAAAAUGUCACGACGAAGCCUGACAUGAAGUGUUUAAAAUGAAUAAAAUCUAAUUAAAGUGUCAAAGUGAAAAUUACUGUCAAAUCUAGAAGGCCACCGACAAUUUAAGCCCAUAUAAAAAAUAAUAAUAUUUUAUUAUAUAAUGUUCAUAUUUUUCAAAAAUAGACGAAGGGGUCAAGAACUUCAAUACUAAUUUGUGGUGAAGAAUGCUAAUGUAAAAAGAAAUUAUGACAAAUUCAAUUUCAUUAAUUCUUACACAAAAAAGGUAUAAAUUUAAUAUUUCGAAAAAAUUAUUAUCACUCAUAAAUAAUAAAAUAUACUACUUAUAAGAUAUAUCUAGAAGGGCGUUACGUUAAUUUUAGUGUAGUCUAUUAUUUUAGAAAAAUUAAAUAAAAAUAGGCCACGUAUCUCUAAUUUUAAGAAACUUCUUACGUUUGUUGAUUUUUCUUUCUUUAUAAUACGAACAAUUUUUUACACGUCUGGUCCUUUUUUUCCAUAUUAAUCAAUUUUCGAAAAUGUUGUCACAUUACUGAAAAUAAGCAAAUAUUCUUCUGUUUUGUGCGUAAGCUAAAGUAUUUGAUACUGCUAAGAAUAAAUUUUCCAUUUUUAUCCCUUUGAACAUUGCCGAAAAUCGAGGUUUGAUGAGUUUUUCUUUUUCGAAAUUUGCAGUCGCUACAAUUUUUGUCACGAUUUUUGUCAUUUUGGGUGAAAACUCUUUAGUGAGGACUCUGUGCGCACUGAAUAAAUUGAUAGUCUCAUUUAAAAAAAAAAAGUAAAAAUUUUUGAAUAAAUUUCAAACUGCUAUUUAUAAGUUGAAAAUAACUUUUGUUACUAUUCAAAAUUAUUUAUUUAUUUUACCAAACUUUGAUCAAACACCUUUAUUUUAUUUUCUUUAUAACAUAAGAUCUUUGUUUAAUUUUUUUUUUUUAAAUAAUUCAAGAGUUUAGCUAUACAUGUUUAAAACUAUGAUAUAUUAAUUGACUUGAUUUUGACAGUACAAAAAAAAUAACAAUCACCUAAUCUCUUUUUCCAUAUUUGUGUACUAAAUAUAUUGUUUUUAUACUAGUGACAAUGAUAUUAGUAUGUCAUUAUUGGUGCAAGUCCAAAUAAGGUGAAAUAUGAGAAAUGUCAAAAGGUGAAAUCAAUUAGCUCAUUAUGACAUCAACUAUCAUUUAUUUUUAAGAUUUGAACUUGAAAUUUAUAAUUAAGGGUGAAAAUAGCUUUAUUAUGACUGCAUCAUAAUUCAAAUUAAAGGACAUAACAAUUUUAUUAUGACUGUAUCAUACUCCGUAUUAAUUAGUACUUAAAUAUUCCGUAUUGAAUGGCGAAAUAAUUUCAUUAUGACUGCAUUAUAAUCUGUAUUGAUUAGUACUUAAAUGUUAGUACGAACAUGAAUUAUUUUGAUGGUACGUGAAUUGUGAAUUGUUUUAAUGUAUAAAAAUUACAAAAAGUCUAGUGAAUUACUGGCAAAAAGGUUUAAGAAUUACUUUAAUUAUGUUACAUAUUUAUAAUCAUCAAGUAUGGCAAUCUAUUCAUAUUAUUUUUGAUCCCCGCCGCAAUGAAAAUAAUUUUUAGCGAUGAUAAAUAUUGACAUUAUUAAAAAAUAUUAAAAUCAUCUUCGACAUUAGUAGAACUAAUAUCACAAAAAACUUUAAAGAACAUAUACACAGAAUGCUAAUUGCUGCUAAAAAUACAAUCUUUAGUCGUCACUAAUGAUCAUUUUUGAGAUAGUGAUCUGUGUGUUAUAAAGUCAAAAAAUCUAAAUAUGUAACACGACGUACGUUUUACACUAAUGUUAUUAUUUUCUGUUUAAACCUAUUCCAGUCAAUUCUAUUCUAUUGUAUCUAAUUAUGACUUUUAAUUAAGAAAAUUUGUGAUUUGUGGACUAAUUGUUAUGACAAUUAUACAUGGGAAUCUCCUGUCCCUAAUAAGUUAAUCUUGUUUCCAUUUUAGCAGCCUAUGAAAAGGCAUGCAUGGUUUGGUGGCCGCCACUCACAAAUUCGAAAAAUUAACUUGUAAAUAAUUAUAUAAGUUUAUCAGUAUAAUUCAAGUAUACACAAUAUCUAACACAUUGAUGAUAUAUGUGUAUAUUAUUUAAUAUAAGUAUAUACUAUAUGCAUCUUUUGUAGAUUAGAUAACCCAAAAAACAUUGUUAAUACAUAAUUUUUCCUUUGAAAAAUUUGAACUCGACGGUUAGAAGUUCUAUUCACACAUUUCAUUUGAUUUACUAUUUUCAAAAUCUAUUAAAUUAUACUCUUUUAUGUAGAUUUUUCGACAUAUAUCUAAGAACUUUGACGCUUUAAGCCUGUUUGCAAGACACACUUAUAUUAAGUUAAAAUAUCUAAUGGAUAUCGAAUAAGUUUUAAUAUCAAAUCAACGAUUGAAAACAUAUUUAAAUUUUUAUUUAUAUAUUAAGUUGUCUUACACAUUAGAUCCACCAACCCUGCCUUUGAAUUAGUUGGUUUGAUUCCCAAAUUCACACAAACUUUUUUUGUCUCACCAUUGACAAGCAUGUUUAGGCUGACACAUUAAGCAGGAAGAAUAUUAUCAGACAAAAUAUAAUUAAUAGAAGUAUUAAAUAUUCUUAAUCACUGAAAAUUUUAAUUUCGUCAAUGAUUCGUCAUGAGAAGAAAUUGUUUAUCUGUAUUAAAGAAAAGAUAUAAUAAAUAUAUUUAAGGGUAACAACAUCCCUUUGUCUCAUGAGAAAUCUUCUUUUUUUUUUAAAGUUUAUCCGAAAAACUAAUAUCACCUUAUUAUAAUUUUAUUAAAAUAAUUUAUAAUUAUACAAAUUUGUAUGAAUUGUUUUACCACUAUUUUAGAAGUCAUCAUUUUUAAAAAAAAUUAAACCAUAUAAAAUGAGUAAGUGAGUUCUAUCUAUUUUUCUGCGGCAACAUGUACUCUAAACUCGGCAAUAAUAAUUUUUUCCAUAAUAUUCUAGAACUCUAAACGGAUCAUUUUUUACUUUGAUCCCUAUUUUGUGUCAAUAUUUAUAUUUUUGUUCUUCAUAACAGAUAUUUUUUUUUACAUAAAUCUCAUAGUAUAAAAAUCUAAAUUACAUUCUAUCCCUACUCUUUUUUAAUUAAUAAAAAUUUCUCAAAAUUAUUGUUAUCCAGAUACAUAGCAAGGAACACGGAUAUAUAAAAUAUGAUACAUAAAAACAAAAUUAUUUACACUUUUAAAGGAAAGAAAAUAUAAAAUUAAUGUGAGUUCCCCAAAUUACGGUAAUUUAGUUAAAUUCAAUCUCUCUCAAAUCUUAAAAGAUUCAAUCAAAUCAAAAUUCAAAUUUUCUUCUCUCAAAUCUCUUCCAAAUCUGCCCAAAUUCAAUACAAAAUUUAUUUUUUCUUCUCUCAGUUCUAUUUUAAAUCCGUCUAGUUUCAAAAAUUUCAAAUUUUCUUCUUUCAAUUCUCACCCAAAUUAAUAGAUUGAAAAAAGUCAAAAACAAUAGCUGAUUUUAUCGGAUGCGUAUCUAUAAAUUUGGAUAAUUAAUACAUGGGUGAAUCAACUAAUUUUUUUUCAUUGUUAAUUGUGCUCUCGUGUUAUAAUAUCCGGGCUCCUCUUUGAACGCUUGUGCAAAGAUAUCAAAUUUCUCAUAUAUUAGUAGCACAAUAUUUGAAAGGAAAAUAUGAAAGAAAUAUUUUAAAAUUCAAGCAAGAUGUGAAUUUUGCAGUGGGAGAGGCAACAUCGCUUGAUUUUGCCUACUUGUUGGACAACUGAGUGGGUUAAAAAUAUAUGAUAUCUUCUUUUUGCAAAUUUUCUUCGGGUAAUAGCCCUGAGCAGUCCAUAUUGGUACUAUGAAAUUAUUCAUGUGUAUCUGUUACACAUUGAAACAACAUAUAAAAUGGUUGAAGAGAUACAUAACUUUGAUGGAUACAUAUUUGUGUGGUUAUUGCUAUGUAUCAGAUAUAUUUAGUAUAAAUUUAAAUUGAAGUAUCAUGUCUAAAAAAUUAGUGCAUGAUUUAUUAGUAUUUAUGUAUCUUAUUUUAUUUGAUAAAUAUUACAUUUUAUAAAAAGAAACAUGAUACAUAUAAUUAUUCUAGAUAACAUUUUUUUUGUGUAGGAUACAUAAAACAGUAGUGAUCACUUGAUACAUAUAAUGAUAUACGUAAUAAAGUUUGUAAAACUGUUGAAUUUGGUAGAUAAUAUGUAUCAUGCACCUGUCAAAUAGACGGGUGGAUUAUAGAGCUAGGGUAGGGGCAAAUCGAAGGCCCAUCGGGAUUGGGCAUGGACGAGCCUCGACUGGGCCAGCAUUGAUGAAAAAAGAAAAACUUCCCCCAUCGCAUCAUUAACCGGUGUAGGAUUUAAGGUUUGUGUAUCAACUGUAUUUAUUAAGAUUGAUACAUUAUUGUUUGGUAAUUGUUAUGUAUCAGAUAUAUUUAAUAUGAAUUUGAAUUUACAUAUCAUGUCAAAAAAUUAGUGCAUGAUAUAUUAUUAUCUAUGUAUCUUAUUUUGUUUGAGAAAAUACUAUAUUUUAUUUUAUUUUAAAAAUAUUAUACAUGUAAUUGUUUUAAAUAACGUAUUUUUUUGGUGUGUGAUACAUAACACAAAGUUUAUUUAUCAAGUACCUUUGUAUUGAAUAUGAUAAACACAUCAAAGAUUCAACAACACUAGAGUUAUGUAUCAAUACCUUAAAUAUGAAAAUGAUAUGUUGCAUAAAACAAAAGCAAUUGUAGCAGUGAUUUAGUAGACCAGUGAUAACAAUAAAAAAAGACUAAUUUAAGAAUAGAAAAAGCGAGACACAUUGAUAGUAAGCCCAAAAAACUAAAAGAUCGAGCCAACAUAAUGAAGUGUAUCAAGAUCGCAAUUAGAAAUUUCUGAAAUCAUUUCGAAUGCACUCCAAGAUAAACUGUGGAUUAACAAGGAUUUUCCACCUCUCUUCCGUAAAUAGUCCGAGAGUAAAAGAUUCAUUAAUUUUUUUAAGAUAAAAAAUAAAAAAUUGAAGUGGAUGAAAGAAAUCUAACUCUUGAAUAACUUGAAAUCUUUUAUUGGAAAGAGAAUUUUUUUUUGAAAUUCAAUAAUAGAUUAAUGAAAGUAACUGUAGAGAGAUUUGUGGAGUGAAAAAAGGAAGUAAUAUCAUGGUUAAGAAAUUCAAAUUAAUGUAUCUGAAAAAAAAAAUGAUGAGAGAAAAAAAGAAACUGUUGAUAUUUAUUGAAAUGGUAGGAAAAUAAGAAAAUAUGUUAAGGAAUGAUGUGUAGUUAGAUAUUUUUUUCAUUUUUUUAGGUCAUAAGUUCAUAUUAUUUUCAUAUCUUAAUAUUUUAUAAUUAAAUAUGACUUUAGUUUUGGAAGAACUUAUUUUUUAAGGAUAAAUUCAAUCGUUAAAUAAUUUUUUUUACGACAAAGGGAAAUCCACAAUCGCUACUCUGCCCUUUGGGUGCAGACAGGGUAAAACAUCGCUCCUAUGCAAUAUAACUUGCAAACCACAUAUGAGAGGUAACCCGCACUAGCCAAUCUUGUGAGACGAGCUCGUCCCAGAAAGCAAAUCCCUUACUUUUGCUGGCAAGGGUUUCAAACUUGAGACCUCCAACAUGGAAGUCCUAAGCUCAAAACACUGGGCUACCCAAAAUAAUUCAAUCGUUAAAUAACUAAAAUUAAAGAUCAUCCCAUUCGAAAGAAAAGAGUACAAUUUUAUAAAUCUAAACUAUAACUAAGCAAAUUUUGACCUUUAGAAAAGUAAUAAUAAUAACCCAAGAAUUCUAAUUUUUGGCCCUCACAAAAAUAUGGUGCAUAAUUAAGAGGAUUUGCAACUUGUAACCAUUUAUAUGUUCUUAUUAGGUUGAUUAACUUAAAAAAAUUAAAUAUAAUAUCUAAGAACACAAAAAAAAAAGUUAUCAAAAUUAAAUCACGGUACACGCCUCACACCACCUGCAUUAACUAAAGGAAAAGUCAAUAUAUAUAUAAUUGGAGAAAUAUACGAUUAAGGAUGGGCAUGAUAUGAUAUAUAUUGAAUUAUCAAAUUAUAUAGAAUUUUUUAACACCCUGCUUUUGGUAUUAGGGUAUUCAUAUAAUAUAUGAUAUGUAUUUAAGUUGUUUUUGAUAUUUGAUACGGUGUUUGCUAUUUAGAAAUUAUAUAAUGUCAUAUUGAAGUACAUAGUAACAUAAUAUAUACAUUUUAUUAAACUACUAACAAAUAUCAAAUCUAAUAUUAAUAUAAAUUAAAGUUUAGAAGUUGAAACUUUGACUACUCUAUUAUGUUUGGAAUUUAAUUUUUUCAAAAAAACAAAGAAUUUAUUUGUACUUUAUUUUUAAUAUAAAUUUCUACACGUGUAACGUGGUAGAAUAUUGCAAUUGAAAUCUUUUUUUAAUUAUCAAAAAUACAAUACUCUAUUAUACAAAUAUAUAUUAAUCGAAGUUAAACAAAUUAAUUUACCAUACUGUACAGUAUCAAAAACAAAUUUUAAAAUACUUUCUAUAUCAAAUUAAAUUGAUAUGAUAAUAAUAUAAUAUUUGAGAAAUCAAAUUCCAAAAAUUUGAUACUAAAACUUUAAAAUAUUUUAUUGUAACGACCUGUUUAGUCGUUUUUGAACAGUAGAGUUUAUUCUGGUAAUAACUGUCUGGGUCGACGGAUUCCACGACGGACCGUCAUGGGCAUGACGGACCGUCGAGGGGGUCUCGUUCCAAAAUACUUAGAAUCUAAAAAUUUGGGUACUGAGAACAACUCUCUGAACUUCGCGAUGACAUGGCAGGACGGACCGUCGUAGGCACGACGGACCGUCAUAGACCCUUUAGUGAAAUUGAGUCUCUGGACUUUGUGAUGGAAGCAGCAGGACGAACCGUCGCAGGCACGAUGGGCCGUCACAGGGUGCGUAACCCUGACUGGGUCGGAUUUCUGUUAAAAGUUUUAAGGGGCGUUUUGGACUAUUCCUGCUUAUGAUUAUAAAGUUAGUGGGUUAAUGUUAAUAAUUCAAUUACUUGGGGGUUAAAGAUGACAACCUUGAAUUAAAUAGUGGGUUACUUUUGUCAUCUUUUAUACUUAAUUAUAUGGUAAUUAGGGUAAAAGAAAAAGAGUUUGAAUAAGGAAAAAUAGAAAGAACAGAAGAGGGAGAACGAACGAUCGAGAGAGGGAGAAACGAAGAGGAAAGCAAAGCAUUGGAGAAGUAGAUUUCUUGAUCACGAUUCUUCGGUGGAGGUAGGUUAUGGUUUAUGCUAUUCCGUAGUAAACUCUCAAUAGCGAAUGAUAUGUAUUGUGUAGUAUUGUAAAGUCUUCUAUAUGCUUAAUUAUGUGCUUGCAUGAUGUGAUUAUAUAUAAUUGUGAUAAAAUAAGCAUGAUGAGGCUGUUGAAUCUUAAACCUUAAAACCUCUUUGUUAAUGAUGAUGCCUUGGUAUAAAGGAAGGCUUGAUGAACUAAAAGAAUGAGGUUAGUGGAUCGGGUGUCACGUUCCGACACCAGGAUAGUAUUAAUGGAUCGGGUGUCACGUUCCGGCACCAGGAUAGUAAUAGUGGAUCGGGUGUAACGUUCCGACACCAGGAUAGUAUUAAUGGAUCGGGUGUCACGUUCCGACACCAGGAUAGUAAAAAGAAUGAAUCUUGAAUUAUGUUAAUAUACUCAAUUUAAUGAACCUGAUUCCCAAAUGAGUAUGGUGUGGAGGCUUGAGUCCUCAUAGAUGUGCUUGGGUUGUGCCCAAUGGUUAUGGUACUUGUUGUUGUCACCUGUUAAGUGUUAUGGUUGAUUUUACGUUAUUAUCUGAUAUAUAUUGCUUUCUAUUCUGAGUUGGCCGAUGAUAUUUACUCAGUACUUGUGCUUGUACUGACCCCUACUUGUAUGUUUUCUCGUUUUUAUUUGUGGAGUGCAGCAAACGUACCGUCGUCUUCAACUCAACCGCAACUCUAGCCAGUCUUCGCCACGUCAAAUUUCAGGGUGAGCUAUUGUUCCUAGCUCGGACUGGAUUCUCUCUCAUUCAUGUCUUGAUGUCCUUGAAGUUCGGACAUGGACCAUUUGUUUACUUAUUUUAGCUUCUUAGAUACUCUUAAAUUUAGUAAUUUGAGGAUAGAUGUUCUUGUGAUGAUGACUUCCAGAUUUUGGGGAUAAUGAUAGUAAUUGAUAAACUUUAGAAGCUAUUUUAUUGAUUUCGUUAAUGAGUUUUAAGUCUUCCGCAUUAUAUUCUGUUUAUUAUGGUUGAAAUGUUGGGGUUUAGAUUGGUUGAUUCGCUCACAUAGGAGGAUAAGUGUGGGUGCCACUCGCGGCUCGUUUUGAGUCGUGACACUUGUUAUAUUAUACCAUACCAUGUUCCCUUAUAUACAAUAUUAUAAUAAUAAUAAUAAUAAUAAUAAUAAUAAUAAUAGUUGUUAGUGAAACACCUAAAACCAAUGUGAUAUAACAAAAUUUUUAAACAAUUCAUAAAGAUAUUUGUAUUAUUAUUAUAUCAAAAUGGCAGCAUUUUAACGUAACUGCUAUCAAGUGGUCAUUAAAGGUACACUAUUUUUUUUAGUUCGAUUUUCUAUUCGAAAUUUGAAAUUCAUAUUAGAGUCUUGAUAAAUUUGAAUAUAUAUUAUAUAAUUUAUUUGGUGUGAUGCUUUCAAUAAGUUUUUUUCCAUACUCAGGGGUCGAACCACAGACCUCUAGUUAAUAGUGAAGCAAAGUGAGUUGAAAAUAAUGAAAUGCAUGUGUUUGUAACUCGUGACUACACCGAUUAAUUUUUUCUGCAAUACUUUCUCGGUUUAAAAAAGAAUGAUCUCAUUUCUUUUCUAGUCUGUUUAAAAAAGAAUGACUCCUUUUCUUUUUUUGGGACUUUAACUUUAAUUUUCCACGUGGCAUAUUUAAGACCACAAGAUUAAAGGUCAUUUUGGUACAUUUGACAUAAAUUUAAUUUAAAACCACAAGAUCAAAAAAUCUUCUUUCUUUUCUUAAACUUCGUUCAAAGCCAAACUAUGUUAUUCUUAUUUAAACGAAUGGAAUAUUAUUUUGUGAUAGUAAUUAUAACUUAAGUAUUUAUAAUCAAUAUUUUAUAUAAAUAUCAUUAAAAAUAUUAGCAACUCUAAAUAUAAUGAUAUUAUUUUAAUUGCUGUUUAAAAUUUAAAACCAUUAUAUAUAUAGACAGAUACAUAGAUAGAUAGAUGGGGUGGGGCUUUGAUAAGAUCAUGAGACCACCCCAAUAAUUAGUAUGUGUAUUAUUAGUCCUUAAACUUUCACUAGUUUAUUAUUCUUUUUGUCUCUAUUUAGUUGUCCACUUUAGAAGUGAUACACAUAUUAAGGCAUCAUUUAUUAUCAUAGGUUAGUUAUAAUUUUACCCUUAACUUAAAAAAUUAUGUAAAAUAUAUUUUUCUAAUUCCAAAAAACAUGCAUUACAACUUAGUAGCACUAGAAAAUUUUUAGAAUUAAAUAAGGACAUAUUAGAAAAUAAAUUAUUGUCCUUUCUUAAUUUGUUAAAAUGAACAAGUAAAUAGGAACAGAAUUAAAAAAAAAUAUUGACAAAUAAAAAGGGAUAGAGGCAAUAUAUUUAGUGAUAGAUCAUGUUAGGACUUGGAGGUGUGCUUAUCCAAAUUAGUUUGUCUUAAUCUGCAUUUAAUUAAUAGCACAUGAGAAAAGGCAUAAGAAGAAACACACAUACAUCUCACUUUUUAAUUUAUAGUACGAAGUUAUAUAUAUGACUUUAGUAAGGGUUGAAUAUUUUAAUUGGAUUUUCAUUGUUUCAUAUUUUUGUGCAAGUCAUGAAGUUUCCGAGUUCUUGUUUCAAGAAUUACUGAUAUUUUCUUACAUACCAUAACAUUAAUUCUAAUUUGAAAUUUAAAUUUAAUUUUCUACUUUUCGAAAAAAUGGAAAUUUUCAAUCACGAUGAAAUUAUAGUUGAUGCUUUGUUCCUACAAGUGAUUUUUUAAAGAGCAACUUUCACAUAUAGCAAAUAAAAAAUUCAUAUUUGUAUGCUAUAGUAAAGUUUGUAUAAUUGCACUCCAUAGCAACCAUAAAACUGUAUAAUUCGCUAUACAUAUACAUUUGUAUAAUUCGCUGGCCUAUUUCGCUGCAAUUGUAUAAUUUGCUUUGCAUACAGUUGAAUCGAAUUAAAAUGUAUGUACAUUGCAUAAUUAUAAGUGUAUAACAAGAAGAUAUAUGUUUUUCUCGCUUUAUACAAAAACAGAAACACAAUAUAUACACUUAUGUUGUAUAAAGCUAGAGAAAAUUGCAUUUCACUGCAAUUGUAUAAUUCGCAAUUGUAUAGUUCAUUGGCCUUUUUCUCUGCAAUAUUUGAAGUAAAAUGUUUGUAAAUUGUAUAAUUAAGUGUAUAACACGAAGAUAUACAUUUUUGCAUGUGUAUAUACAAUUUUCUAUCGCUUUAUACAAAACAGAAACAGAAUUAUACAUUUAUGUGUAUAAAGCGAGAGAGGCGAGCGAGAUUUUUGGGAGAGAUACGCUGGCAAAUUUUAGCUAAUGUUUGCUAUGGAACACAAUUAAAUCAAACCCUAGCUAUUCCAUUUAUUUUAGGUUAUUAGUUUGCUAUACAAUUUUCCCUUUUUUAAAUCAAGAUCUUAAAUUUAACCCUCAUAUUCUAUUGCCUAACGCUUAUUUAUUUUUUUAAAAGGCAAAAAGAUUGAUUAUGUGACUAAUUAAGUAUAGCAGAUUGAUUAAGAGUCAUAUAAUGUGUACUAAGAAGUUGUCAAUUACAUCAUUAAGUUUGAAAAUGAAAGGAAAAAUUUGGCCAAUCAAAAAGAAAUUAAACAAGUUAUCUGGUUGGAAUUGGAUUAUGAAAUUAAAACGUAUGCUUUAAUUAUUUGUUUUAACAUAGCAAGAUGGUGCUGACAGUUGGUGAAAUAAUGGUUGUACAAAAUUGACAUUUCUCUAAUAAAGCCCAUGCAUAUGGGGCCUUGGGACUCAAAUAUUACAACAAAUAAAAGAAGUUUGUGAUAAUAAAAUAAUGAUAACUUUCACGUAUAGCAAAUAAAAAAUCUAUAUUUGUAUGCUAGCAAAAUUUGUAUAAUUGCGCUCCAUAGCAAACAUAAAAUUGUAUAAUUUGCUAUAUAUAUAUAUACAAUUGUAUAAUUCGUUGGCUUAAAUUGUAUAAUUCGCUGGCCUAUUUCGCUGCAAUUGUAUAAUUCGCUAUCCUUUUUCGCUGCAAUUGUAUAAUGCACAAUUGUAUAAUUCACUGCCUAUUUCACUGCAAUAUUUUUAUAAAAUUUGCUUUGCAUACAACUGAAUCGAAUUAAAAUGUAUGUAUAUUGCAUAAUUAUAAGUAUAUAGCAAGAAGAUAUAUGUUUUUCUCUCGCUUUAUACAAAAACAGAAACACAAUAUAUACACUUCUGUUGUAUAAAGCUAGAGAAAAUUGUAUUUCACUGCAAUUGUAUAAUUCGUUGACCUUUUUCUCUGCAAUAUUUGUAUAAAAUUUGCAUUUGUCUACAAUUGAAUUGAAGUAAAAUGUUUGUAAAUUGUAUAAUUAAGUGUAUAACACGAAGAUAUAUGUUUUUGAAUGUGUAUAUACAAUUUUCUCUCGCUUUAUACAAAACGGAAACAGAAAUUAUACACUUCUGUGUAUAAAGCAAGAGAGGCGAGAUGGGAGAGUGGCGAGCGAGACUUUUGGGAGAGAAGCGCCUGGCAAAUUUUGACUAACAUUUUCUAUGGAGCACAAUUAAAUCAAACCCUAGCUACUCCAUUAAUUUUAGAUUAUUAGUUUGCUAUUAUAUACAAUUUUCCCUAAAAUAAUUAUUGCUAUGUUAUAUUUAGCUAUAAUAAUAUAAUUAUUUAUAAUUAAUACUUUAUAUAAAAUUGCCAAAUACUUUAGUAGUAAUUAUAAAAUACAAUGACAUUAUCAUUAUUAAAAAAAAUAUAUUAUCAUCAAAAUAAUUUUUACCAUCGUACCAUGAUAGUUUACUUUAACUAAUUUUCAAUCUUAAAGUAGACAAAAUGUUAAAAUGAUAAUAAUGUAAGAUUAAGUUAGACAUCUUAUCUCCCAGUCACAAGCUCAAUCGACUACUUUAGUAAAUGAUGGUGAAAUUUUUUAAUUAUAAUUAAGAAGACAAUUUAAUAAAUUAAAGUAUAAUUUUUUUCCUUUUCAAUCAUUUAAUGGGAAAGUUAAAAAUCUUACAUGGAGUAUAUUCCGGAGAAAAUGUACCCUAUAAAUCACCUAGAAAGUCAUUUAACGUAUUUUAAUAGUGUUAUAUUUAAAUUUUAUUCGUUAAUAAUAUUAUAAUAUCUUGAUACUAAUUACUAAUAUCAAUCAUAUAUAUAAUUUAUCUUAAAAUUAAUGAUUAAACAAAAAAUAAGAUAAUAUUAUUAUUUUUAUAGUUUAUAUUAUUCAAAAUACCAAACGACCCGGAAAAUCAUAAAUGUGAAGUUGUGAACUAAGGAUUAAGAAAAUAUCGAUACAUUUAAUAGUUUGUAAAUAAAGGAAAUGAAAGUAUGCGUCUUUAGUUUUAUCGUACAGUUUGGGGAACUAAUUUAUAAUAGAUGUACAAAAUUGACAUUUUCUAAUAAAUCCAAUGUAUAUGGGGCCUUGCUUAUAGGUCAAUUUAACUAAAUUUGUCGAUCUUAUAUUGGACAAAAAGUUGAAAGGAUAAAUCUUAUAAGAUUGAAAUUAAGUUAGAUAUUUUGGAUUUGUUUUACGAUUUUUUUUCUCAAAUAAAGUAAAUCAGUGAGUUUUUUUUAUAAGAUAAUAUUUCAUAUACACACUCGGCUUAUUAUAAUUCACUUAGAAAGUUAUAACAUUAGUAUUUUACCUAAAAAUCACUUGAUCAUUUAAAUGUUUUUCGUUGAUACGAAGAUUUUAUUUUAAACUAGAGUUUUUAAGAAAUAAUAAUAUUCUUUUUAUUCCAAUAAAAUAAAAAAACAAGUCAAUUUAAUAAUUAAUUUAAAUAAAUAACUUUACAACCCAAUUAAUUUAGAAUCUCAUUAGAAUGUUAUUUUUUUAAAAAAAAAUGCAUUGUGGAUAAGUAUUCAUUGAAAUAAAUAAAUAUUCAAGAUGCUUUUCUUUUCUUACUAAAAAGAAUUAAUCAUCUGUAACUACAUUCAAUUAUCAAGAUAAAAAGGAAAUUUAGGUAAGACGUUUUUGAAAUUGAAUUAAAAUAUGAUUACACAUUUAAAGUAAAGCGACAUCCACUAAAACGUAAUUUAUUUGGGUAAUUAAAAUGACAUUUCAACGGUAGCUUUUUAUUUCCUUAAUGCAUUUUUAAGUAGAAGCACCUACGGAACUGUAAAUGCACCAUGUUUCUUUACAAAAUAGUGAUUUUUAUUAAGUAUCCAAACACAUCACUAUAGUUCGGGGCGGAGCGGACGAACCGUUUUGGUAAUUUUUAAGGUUAAUUAUAUAGUUAGGUAUAAUUAUUUGGACCGUUUUGGUAAUUUUUAAGAUUAAUUAUAUAGUUAGGUAUAAUUAUUCGAUACAGAUAAAUGUUACUACCCAUAGGUCUUUGUCUUAUAUAUCACUAUUUCGUGUUCUAAACUCAAAUUUGAUGAGUACGUGACUUAACAUGCCAUUUAUUGUAUACAAAUAACACAUUUAACAUUUUUUUGGGGUGGGGGGGGGGAGGGAAGGGGUGCAGUAUCGUCUCAACAAGUUUGGGGAUCUAAAGCCAAACGCCAUAAAGAGGCUCUAUUUUUUAGUUGGCAAAUAUAGAUUGAAUAAUUAUACCAUACUCAUGUAAUCAUACAAAUGAGGUCUAGAGAGAUACGAUAUAUGCUACACAUUAUGAAGUAAGAAUGCAAACAAUGUAAAUUAUUUUCAAUGAAAAUUAUAUAAUAUAAAGUUUAGAAUAACAAGACAUGACUUAAUUCUUUUAAAAAUAUGGUGAAUUAAAUUAGUGUUGUGAUGAAUUUGAUAAGUAGAUAUAAUAAUAUCAAAAUUGUGUUGAUUAGUUUUGGUGCUUGAAAUUUGAAUAAGACACAAAAAACAAAUUUAUUCUUUUUAUAAACACACAACAAUAGAGAUUUUACAUAAUGUAGAAGGUUUGAGCGUUUGAGAGACUUUAGAAUAUUCAUUAAUGAAAGAAUAAAAAAUAUUGAAUGGAGAAUGAAGAAAAGUAAGUAGAAAACGCAAUACGGUUGGUUCAUGAUAAUCAUGAGAAUAUAAAUGAGCUAGACAACAAAAGAAAUAGCCACAUGCAAAAUUAUAAAAGAUACUACAAUUAACUCGCCACACAAAAAUCUAAAAAAGAUAAUACAAUCAACUAAACAAUCUUUACAAAAAAAAAUCUUUUAAUAUUUAUUAGUACAUGAAAUUUUUUAAGUAUAUUUCUCUAUCUCUCUCUAUAUUUAUGAGAGAAUGAAGUCUCAAAAAAGUUGAAACCAAGCGAUUAUUUUAGUGAUCUUAUGAUCAAAACGGCCAAAAAGCACGUUUAGUUGAGGGACCAAACUCAUAUCAAGUUCAAGUUUAAUAUUGUUUUGCAAGAAAAAUUAAUUAGUAUACGACUAACUUAAAAGAAAAAUUAUAAAUUCAAUUAUUGUGUAUACAUGCAACGCAACCAAAUAUAUAUAUAUAUAUAUAUAAUGUCCAGGGGAAAUGCAUAAUGGGCUUGUAAUAAAUUCAUAUGAUGAUAAUCAAAUGUUAGAACAAUAAUUAGUUUCAACCGGUUAUUAUCGUGGAGAUAUAUUUUUAUUUUUAAUCAGAAAUUUUAAAUUUAAAUUUUCUCAACUCGAAGUUUCAUUUGUUAAGAACUUCUUAAUGCAAAUAUUGAAGUCGGAUGAAAAAUAAAAAAGUAGUAGCAAAUUAAAGCGUGAAGAGGGCCGACGUGGCUGCAAUCCAAAUGGGCGCGAUGUGCAGUGUGACAUGACAUAUUUUUUCUGUUUUGAUUUAUGUAAUAUACUUUUAUUUUUAAUUAAUUUAAACAAGAAAUACAAAUUUUCUUAUCUGACUAAUGUUUAGUGACAUCAAUAUUUUUUAAAAUAGUGAUUCUUACUUAUUUGACAAAAAAAUCAACAAAAUAUACUCUUUUAUUUAAAAUAUUACUUAUUUUCAGGAUAAUUUUAGAACUUAUCAAUUUUAUUUUUGUAUUUCUUAAAUUUCCUAUUUUGUUAAACUUUAUCAAUAAAUUAAAACAAAAUGAAAAUACUACAUUGUUUUAUCCUACAAGAAAAGAAGUUCCAAUUAGGGUGUGUUUAUAAAAUGUAUUUUCUUGAAAAAUAAAUUGAUUUUUUACGUAUAGAUUAUCAAACAAUUUCUCAAAUGAUAAUUUGAAAAAAUCUGAUUAUAUAAAUGCAACAACCUCAACAAGUUUAUUGGUAUAAAUCUGUCACGACUCAAAUCGAGCCAUGAGUGACACCCACAUUUAUCCUCCUAUGUGAGCGAACCAACCAAUCUAACCCUAUCAUUUCAAACAUAAUGAACUAAAUACAUUGCGGAAGACUUAAAAACUCAUUAACAAAAUAAAUCAAAUAACUUCUAAAACUCAAACAUUUAUUAUUAUCCCCAAAAUUUGGAAGUCAUCAUCACAAGAACAUCUAUCCUCAAUUUACUAAAGCUAAGAGUAUCUAGAAAGCUAGAAUAAACAAAAAGCUAGUCCAUGCCGGAACUUCAAGGCAUCGAGACAUGAAGAAGAUCCAGUCCAAGCUAGAAGCGUUAGCUCACCCUGAAAUCCGGUGUAAUGAAGACUGGCUAGAGUUGCGGUUGAGUUGAAGACGAUGGCACAUUUGCUACACUCCACAAAUAACAAGGAAAGAAAAUACAAGUAGGGGUCAGUACAAAACACGGGUACUGAGUAGAUAUCAUCGGCCAACUCAAAAUAGAAAACAAUAUAUAUCAAGUAAUAAUAUAAAAUCAACUACAUUACUCAACAUGUAGCAACAACAAGUACUAUGAUCGUUAAUAAGUACCGCCAAGUUUACACAUGAGGACUCAAGCCUCAAUACCAUACUCAUUUGGGAAUUAGGUUCAUUAGAUUGAGUAUAUUAACAUCUUUCAAGAUUCAUCACCUUUAUUCUUGUGUCGGUACGUGACACUCUGCUCCCCUACUACUAUGUGUCGGAACGUGACACUCCAAUCCCCUAGUUCUACGUGUCAGUUCGUGACACCCGAUCCCCUAAUUCUACGUGUCGGUUCAUGACACCCGAUCCCCUAAUUCUAUGUGUCGGUUCGUGACACCCGAUCCCCUAAUUCUACGUGUCGGUUCGUGACACCCGAUCUACUAAUCUCAUUCUAUUAAUUCAUCAAGCCUUCUUUUAUACCAAGGCAUCAUCAAUCUCAUCAAUCUCAUCACUUUAGUUCAUCAAGCCUUCUUUUAUACCAAGACAUCAUCAUUAACAAGGGGUUUUCAAGAUUUGGGAUUCAAUAGCUUCAUCAUGCUUAUUUCAUCACAAUUAUAUAAUCACAUUCAUGCAAGCAUACAAUUAAGCAUAUAGAAGACUUUACAAUACAACCCAAGACAUAUCAUUCGCUAUUAAGAGUUAACUACGAAUAGUAUAAAAAACAUAACCUACCUCCACCGAAGAUUAGAAAUCAAGCAAGCAAGUUUCCAAAGCUGCGUUCUUCUCUCUCUCGCUCGAUCGUUUCUCCCUCUCUCUCUCUGUUCUUUUUCUUUUUCUUGUUCAAACCCUCUUUCUUUUACCCUAAUUAGCAUAUAAUUAAGAAUAAAAGAUGGCAAUAAUAACCCACUAAUUUACUCAAGGUUACCUCUUUUAACCCCCAAGUAAUUAGACUUAUUAACAUUAACCCACUAACUUUAUACUUAUAGCAGGAAUAACCCAAAACGUCCCUUAAAACAUUUAAAGAAAUCCGACCUCGCCUGGGAUUACGCAGCCUGUGACGGGCCGUCGUGCCUGCGACGGUCCGUCCUGCUACUCCGUCACAGAGUUCAGAGACUGAAAUUUACUGAAGAGUCUGUGACGGCCCGUCAUGCCUGUGACGGUCCGUCCUGCCAUUCCGUUACGAAGUUCAGAGAGUCGAUUUCAGUACCCAUUUUUCAGAAUUUCUAAGUGUUUUGAAACGAGACCCCCUCGACGGUCCGUCGUGCCCAUGAUGGUCCGUCGUGGGUUCCGUUGUCUCAGCCUGUUUUUCCAGAAAUAAAAUCUGCUGCUCAAAACGACUAAACAGGUCGUUACAAAAUCAUCUUAAUAAAUUAUGUGAAGUUUAAUCAGGAGAGUAAAAUGUUUUUCUUUUUGCACUAUUUGUUUCUUAAAUUAAUUUUUUAUCUCAUUAGAUUUUUCUCUUUUAACGUUUUUAACGAUUCAAAGCAAGGUAUAUUACUACACGGUAGAUGUACUUUCUUUUUCUUUUACUAAGUUUUUUGUCAUUAAUUUUUUUAAAGUAAUAUUUUAACAAGACAUAUUAUUUAUUAAUUAACAUAUAUGGACCUUAUACAUAUACUAUUAUAAAUGUUCAUUUAGCCAAAUAUUUUCCUAGAUAAAACUUACAACUACAAAAGUAUUAUACGAGUAGCCCAUCUCACAAGCAAUUUCAUGAAAAGCUAACCUUAAAAGCAAUGCUCGUUUCGAUCAACUUAUUUUAAUUAUUUUUAAGUUAAAAUAAUUUUUAAGUCGUUUUGAAGUAUUCUGGUAAAGUUAAAAAAGUGCUUAUAAAUAUUUAUUUUAAGUUAAAAUAAUAAAAAUAAGUCAAAAGUCAUAAGUUAAAAAUUCUAAAGUAUGAUUUUGGCUUUAUAAGUCAUAAGUCAAAAAUCAAUCCAAACAUGACUCUAAUUUUAAGUGUUUUUAAGUCAAAAUAGCUUUAACUAGUUUUGAAGUAUUUGAAUAAAGUUAAAAAAUACUUAUAAACACUUAUUUUAAAGUUAAAAUAACAAAAUAAACCAAAUAUAAAUUAAAAAUCCUAAUUAAUAAUUUUUAACUUAUAAAUCAUAAGCAAAACGUCAAUCUAAACCGACACUCAAACGACAGCACCAUAACAACUUCUUCUUUUUUCUAUAAAUAAAAAAGUGAAGUCAUUUAGUUAUCAAAAAAAAGUGAAGUGAGUUAACUUGUGCUCUCCUCCGUCAAUAUUAAUUAUUCAUCUUAUGAUAAACAACUAUCCUAAAUUAUCUAGUAAUUUACUAAUCAAAACAAUGAAUUUUUUCUACCAUUAUUAUUUUUAUAAACCUAAACAAGUUUAUGUAAAAGUUUUUCUUUUUCAAAUCUGUGGUUAAAAAGUAAAUUAAUUUACUAAAACUAUUCAUUUUAUUUCUAAUUUUAAAAUAAUGAAAAUUGUAAAAAAAUCCAAAGAGAGAAAACGGAGUUACUCAAACGGCGUACGCAAACCUCCCCGUAACUGCCACGUCCGUGAAAUGACAAAAGUGGGCCCCGCUUUGUUUUCCCAUUAUGUUCUUAUCACCAGAAGCAAGUAACAAUUAGUAAUUAAUUAAUUUAAUUAAGUAAUUAACAAAUAAGUACAUUUAUUUAUACUUCUAAUUAUCCUAUACAUACAGACCCCUUAUAUGUAUAGGCGAGUCUUGUUAAAGCUGUGUAUAUAUAUAUAGAACCAAAAACAUUCAUCUAAUUCAUCAUCCAAUCUACUCUAUUAUUCAAAACCUCUGUUUUCACCUUUUAUUUUUGCUUCUAAAACACAAAGGAUUCUUAGCUUUCUCCUUAUAAAGACUCAAUACUUUGCUUGUGUAUUAGUUCAGAAACGUUCUUGAUACAAAUUUACUAUUUGGGUAUGUUUCUUUUUUUCAUUAUUUUUAAGUUUUAUUCAUGUGAGUCUAGAUAAAGAUAGCCCCUUUUCUGUUUUUUAGAAGAUUUUGAUGAUAAAGUUUGGAUUUUUAUUGUUGAGAAUGGAUUAAAAAGUUCAGAUCUCUAUGUUUUGAUGUAGUCUGUUCUUGAAGUAUCUUGUUUCUGCAUUUUUGUUAAUGGGGUUUGUAGUUUUUCUUAUCUUUGUUGUUUGUGUGGUGGUGGGGUUGGGGGUUGAUUGUUGUGUGUGGUCUUUCUUAUAUGGACUUGAGCAAUGCUGUGAUUGAGCUAGUUUUUGUGAUUGAGUUAGUCUUAGGUGUCGUAUCUUUACGGGUUCCAUCGUACUUUAUUGGGAUUGGUAAAUUCUUGAAGAUAUUAGUAAAAGUUAUAGGGAAUGAUAAGAUUGGUUAUGUAGGACUAAUGAAGAUUAUAGUUUCUUAUCAUCAACCUGUAAAAGUGGCUGGUUUUGGAUAGUUUAACUCUCUUUUGAAGUUGUAGGGACAAAAGGUUUUUCCUUUCUGGUUUGGGUAGCAAGGACUAAAAAGUCACCAGAAUACUGUUUCUAUCAUGAUCUUGAUUAUCUUUCUUCAAGUCUGCAGCUCAGGGGUUUUUUCUUGAAAAUUACCUAAAACAUAUGCUUUUGACUAUUCAACUGUGUCGCCGCAUCCGUUUCAGAUCCUUAGAAGUAAAUUACUUUUGGAGGAUCCGACAAAUCAUCGAACUAGUCUCUCUUAUACUUCUUGUAAGUUGUGGAUCCUCAAUUGAUCCAACUUUUGGGAUCCUUGCAUAGGAGGCAGGGCACUUACUAUUGGAAUUGUUGAAGGAGAGAUUGAAAAAUCAGAUAGGCCUUACAAUUGAGAUUUUUGAAGGAGAGACGAAAAUCGAUUACGAGAACUUGAUUGUUAUAAUGAAAUGUGGUUAUAAAGAGGUCUAACUGUAGUUUUCAUUUCCGAUAGCAUAGAUCAGGUUAACCUUAUAUUGGGUAUCUUUGGAUAACAAAAGAUAUAUUUUUUAUGACUCAAUUCUGUGGUUUUCCAUAGUUAAUGCUGUACCACUUUGCUCUCAUGACUUAUUGGUGUACUUACUUUGAUAUUGAAGCCUUAUCUUAAGGUGGUUUACCUAUUAAAUAUGAAUUGACUUGUGAGUUGGAUAGGAUGAUCAGAGACACAUAUUUUUAUUAAAUGCCUUAGGUUUAUCCAUUUAUUUACUAUCUAGGCAUCAAUAAUUCAUAUAGUUGUUCUUAUCCUUGGAGAAACUGAUUUGUACUUUGUAUAACGUUAGAUUUUUGUGAUAGCUGUUGGAUAUUGGCUUUUGGGAAAAACCAAUAGGUAGUUUCUCUUUGUACUCAACUUGUGCCUACAUUUCAUUGACCUUGUUUUUUUUCUUCAUCUAAAACUAGAUCCAAAUAAUGGGGCAUUCUCUUGUAAUUGAUUAGACGUUUAGCAUUGCAUGGCGUCUUUUGUUUUAUCGUUGCUUCUUUGAGUGUAGUGUACCAUGAGGAGAAGAUCAAUAACAUUUCCUUAAGGUUCACAUGUUCAAUGUUUAUCGUAGUUCUGUAUAGUGUUUAUGAAUUUCAAGUCUUUGUUCUUUUGGUUCUGAGAUCCUUGAAUUUGUAUUUUUACAGGCAUUAGAAGCCAACUUUGUUACAUCAACAAGCAGGAUAUGGCCUUAGAACAGCUGGACACUACCUUUAACAAACACGAUACUCCAUUAGGGAAAUGGAAGACAAUGAACGAUGAAGUUGAAGAGAAUAUUUCUGGUGGUUUUGAAUGUAACAUAUGCCUGGAUCUCGUCCACGACCCUGUGGUAACUUUAUGUGGUCACCUCUACUGUUGGCCUUGCAUCUACAAAUGGAUUCAUUUCCAGAGUGUUCCCUCAGAAAAUUUGGAUCAGCAGCAACCACAGUGCCCUGUAUGCAAGGCUGAAGUUUCAGAAAGAACUUUGAUUCCACUCUAUGGACGCGGUGGUCAAUCUACCAAACCAUCUGAAGGAAAGGCUCCGAAUCUUGGUAUAGUGAUCCCACAAAGACCUCCUAGUCCAAGAUGCGGCGGUCACUUACUGAUACCAACUACCGAUUCAAGUCCAUCCCAUCUACUUCAACGACGAAAUGAUCAACAACAGUCUCAAACACGUCAAUCGCCUUAUCAACCACAAAGCGCCUCACCAGGCACCACAGUUAAUAUGUUACAACCCUCCAUGAUUGGACAAGUGGCCUAUGCAAGAAUCUUUGGUAAUUCAUCAACAACUCUGUAUGCAUACCCAAACUCUUACAAUCUAGCCAUCAGCAGUAGUCCAAGAAUGAGAAGGCAAUUAUCACAGGCUGAUAGAUCACUUGGGAGAAUAUGUUUUUUCCUAUUUUGUUGCUUUGUGACAUGUCUAAUCUUGUUUUGAACACUUUGUCUGUUGCUUCUACUUUGUAAAAAAGAAGAUAUGAUGUUGUAGUAGAUAAGAAAAUGUACAGCCUCAGCUAAAUGUGUAAAAAAAUCAUAGAAGCAUUUGCUUUCUUUGAUUGUUGAUAAAACACACUUGGAAUUUGAGUGCUUGAAGAUUUGAACCCUUUUUUGAUGUAUUAAUCUAAGAAAUGAGGUUGGUAAUUCUAUCCAUUAUUGUGCAUAGAGAUGAGUUUUACUACUAAUUCUUGCGUAAUUAAUUUUUACGAUAUUAAUCUUUGUACCAAACGAUUCUUUAGUGUGUUUGGCGGGACGAUAACAUUUUCCAAAAAUAUAUAUUUCAAUUUUCAUGGUUCGAGAAAUAUUAUCUUUAAAGCAAGACUUUUAGCUUAAUGUAACGAUAAAUAUAAUAAGAAGAUACAAAAUUAAGUAACAAUCAAGAUAAACAUUAUAUUUAAUGAGCGAUGAUAAGUUAUGAAAUGAUACAUAACAACAUUAAUUACAUUAAUGAAAUUUGUUUUUCCUUUGAAUAAGAGAAGUUAUUUUCUUGAUUUUUACAUGUUCUACUUUUAAUUUCCCAUCCUGUUGUAUUAAUUUACUAUGUAUAAAUGUUAAUGUACUAUAUUUUACUUAACUUUCCAAACACUCGAAAUACAUUAUAUAUAUAAAAAAAGAUAUGUUAUUUUUUUUAUGAUCCUACCAAACACACCCUAAAAGGAGGCUAAUUUUGUGUACCUUAUUUUUUCUUAUCAAGAAACAAGAUAACCAAAAUUGAAUUGGUAUAUUUUCUCUGUCAACUUAUUAGUUGGUGGACCUUAUUUAAUUCCUUUUUUUUUUUAAAAAAAAAGACCAAUUCUGAUUGGUUCUUUUCUUAUUCUUUCUUUAGAAUAUAAUAUUAUUAUUAUUAUUUUAUUAGAAUAAAAGUGGUGUAUCAAGUUAUUCCACAUAGCAAAGUUACUAGCUUUCACAUUGUAAUGGACAUUUUUAAUAUUAUUUUCGUGAUAACGAUCUUCAGAUAAAUCGUAUAUUUUUCGAUUAAUUUAAAAUAGUUAAUAUUUUUUUUAUCAAUAUAUGUGUAUUGAAAAACGCAACUCACUAAUAUUUAAAUUAAAAAAUAAAUCAAAUAUCUUUUUUUGAUCUAUUGAAUUUAAAUUUUGAAUUUCUAUAAUUUAAAUUCUUAAAUUUAUAUGAUAUGAUUAAUUCAUCAAAUGGGCAUUUGAUUAUAAACCUGUCACAAUCAAGGCAUCAACAUCAGAAAGCGAAAUUAUAUUCCUCUCAUUUGCUCGUUCUUAUCAAUACAGAAUCAUUUGUUUGAUUCAAAAUCAAGUUAUUCGAAAAUUAUAAUAAUUUUAAUAAAUAUUAUUACUAGCAUAUAUAAUAAUAACCAAUAUUUUGAAAUUAAAUAUAUUAUGAAAAUCCUUCAUAUAUGAUAUACAUCUUCUAUAACAUUAUUCAUUUUUUCUAAAAUAUUUAAACCUUUUAUCUAAAGAAAAUCCUAAAACUUCGUCAAACUAAUAAGUAUGUUUAAGAUAAUUCUAAAACAGAAGGAUUAAUAAAAAAAAAAAAAAGAUAAUUGUUUAGAUAAUAACUUAAUAAUAAAUUAAUAAAGUUUACAAAUAUCCUACAUUAUUAAAAUACAGAAAAGUUAUUAAGUACUAAUAUCCAACAUUUUCACUUUUAUCACAUUUAUAAUACAUAUUAUCUAAAAUAAUUUAUAAAACAAUAUAAUACAAAUUUUAUUGAUAAAUAAUAUAUUCAUCGCACAUCUUAAUAUAACAUGUCAAAUUUCUUAACAAAUAAGUAUAAUAUAUUUUAAAACAAUUAUAAUACAUAUACAUAUACAUAUAUAUAUAUAUAUAUAUAUAUAUAUAUAUAUAUAUAUAUAUAUAUAUAUAUAUAUUUGCAUACAUAAUUCUUUUUCAGUAGAUUUAUGAUAAUAUUUCUAUAAAUAGUAAUAAUAAAAAAUAUGCUAAAAUCAGUAAUUAUUUAUUAAAAGAUAAUUAUCUAAAUAACUUCUCCAUAAAUAUUUAAUCCUUCUUGUUUUUUGUUCUCACCCCAUGUCAGAUAUCUAUAUUGAAACUCAACUAAAUUCGAAUUUAUAUCUCAAAAUUUCACAUCAACAGAUAAAAUAUUUUUUAACAAAAGCGACUCUGUAGAGUCUCGAGAAAUAAGGAUCCAUCCUUAUUAGGAAAUGGCCACUUAUUAUUAUUUAAAGGUGACACCAUUUCGUGCGUGGUGGGCGCCGGCGGCAACGGUAAGCAGCCAUGCUGACGGCGUCUGUGCACAGUGAUGGAGAUAAUAUAUAUUUAUUUUUUUUAAUUUUUAGUGAUUCACAAUUUACAGCUCAGCCAAAAGAAAUGUCCAAAAGAAUCCCAUACCUAAAUCACAAUUUUCACUUGAUUGUGUUUUUUUUUUUUUUUUGGUUUCUUAUACUUUGUUCCAACUUGCUUUUUGUACUCAUUUUUCUUGCAAUUAUAAGCAAUGAUGCUCAUUUCUGUCCAUAUGCAACUAUCCCAGUCUAAUCACAGUCGUUCGUUAUACUAAAAAUAUUUAUUUAAUAAUAUUUCUUCAAUUUAAAAAAAAAUUACUUUUUGUGUCUGAGUAAAAAUAUCUUAAAAGAUUAUUCAAGUAUGUGAAAUUGUUUCAAAAAGUCAUUCAACUUUGUUUUAUAUUAAUAAAGUCAUUCAACUUAUCAAUUUUCUUUUAUAAAAUCACUCAACUUGAACUAUUUUUCUGAAAAAUAGUUAUAACCAAAAAAUAAAUAGAUAAUUACACAAACCACCCUUAAAGUUUAGUUUUGCAAUACUUAUUUUAAUUGUAGUUUAAUAAUAUUAUACUUUAACUCUUAUUUUAUUUAUUACUUCAACAAAUAUUUUUUUACCUAAUUAUUAUUAACAUAAGAAUUUAUGAUUUAAUUAAAUUUCUAUUUCAUCCAUUUAUUUAAUUUUUUAUGAAUAAUAUAAUUUCUUCCUUCCAUUAAUAUAUACUUGUCAAUUAUUUGUAUAUGAUUACAUAUGUGCAUCCAUAAUGAUUGAAUGGAUAAAUUUGAUGCUGAAUUCGGCUUCAUUAAGUUGAUUUAUACACUCUUUUCAUAACCUAUGCAUUUCGUUUAAGUAUUCUUUAACUUUUUUUACUUAAGAAACUGCAUGUAUGUUGAUCAAUUUAAUAAAUGUGUGAUAAAUAAAAAUUUAAUCAAAUCAUAAAUUUUUAUGUUAAUAAUAAUUAUUAGGUUAAGAAAAUAUUUGUUAAAGAAAAUAAAAUAAGAGAGUUUAACGUAAUAUUAUAAACUAUAAUGAAAAUAAAUAUUACAAAACUAAACUUGAAGGGUGGUUGUGUAAUUAAUUUUUUUAUUUUUUGGUUAUAAUGAUUUCCUAGAAGAAUAGUACAAAGUCGAGUGACUUGAUUGAUACAAAACAAAGUUGAGUGACUAUUUGAAAUAAUUUCAGAUACUUUUUCUUUUAAGUUAUUUACUCCUAUUUUAUUCUUACUAUUAAAUAUUCCAUUAUUUGUCAUCUAACAUAUUUUUCAAAGCAUUAUUAAUAUAGUAGCAAUACUUUAUUAUUUAUUAUUUCUUAAGGGGUGUAUCAAGUCAAUAGUGUACAUCUAUUAUUGAACACAAGGAGUAUAUUUUUUUGUUUCAAUAUAUGUAAUGGUAUUUAAUUGAACACGAAAUAUAAGAAGGAAAUUUUUUAAUUUUUUUAAUAAUUUAAUUACUCACUAUUAAGAACAAAAUAGGGAGAAAAUAAUUAAACUUAUCUUGAACUUUUAUAAUGGAUUAAUGAGAAACCAUUAAUGGACAUAAUUUAAACCAAAAUUUCUGCUAUUGCCCUUUGUAAAAUUAUAAAUAAUUUUGCAAGUAGUGCAAUUUAUUAUCUCCUAGUAAAUAAAACUGCAAUAAAUGAAAGUAUAAAUAUGAAAAAAAAAUCAUCUUAAACUUUAUACAAUUAAAUUAUUUAGAACAAUAAAAAAAUCUAAAAGAAUCACUUAAUAUGAAACAGAGGAGUAUAUGGGAAAAUAUAUAAAGAAUUUACAUAUUGAACCCAUUUAAUUUUGAAUUUAAAAUUUCGUCUCUAAUUAUUUCCUUGAGUUAAUGGCUAAUAAUUGCUCUUACAAUACAUUUUAUCUUUAUAGAUUUGUCCCCUAAAGAUCUUCAGCUACACCAUAUCUCAUAACUAAGCAGAAAAAAGAAGACAACAAAGAGAUAAUAUAUAUUAUUAUAUCUCUGCAGAAAAUUAAUUUAUUUUAUUUAUAUUGCAUAGAAAUGAAAGAAAGAAAUUAUCAUUCCCCUUUUUCUGGUGUCACUUGUCAACCAAAAAAAAAAAAAAAGUUACAGCUUGUAAAAGUAACGAAGGGAACUUGUAAAAAGAACCACUUUCGCGGAGUUUCAAAUUCUAUAAGUGAAAGAAGUUUUACCUGUGAAAAUUUGAACUCCAUGAAUCAUGACACUGCCUAUUUUUCGAAAAAUAGAACCGAGAAGUGAUCACUGAACGCUACUUCUACCUGCCAAGUCUGCAACUAUAGAACAGAGGCAGAGAUCAUUCUUUUAGAAGCAGCAAUUGAAAAACCCAACUAAUAAAAGGCAGUAGAAAGUUUUGAUUAGUGAUCAUGAUAAAAAUUUAGAGAAUCGUAUAAUCCGGCAUCCAGUGUCAACAAGUCUCCUCAAGGUCUGUUUCAUUAAGUGCCUCGGACUUGCGAUUUCCAAUUUCAAUAUACUUAUCUAAACCCCCCUCAAAUUCUUUCGAGCAGAGACCUCGCACCCUAAGUAAAUCUUUAAGCUCUUCUUCACCUUGAGUAUCUCCUUUUGAUUGCAAGUACUUCACACAGGAAGCCAAACUGUGGAAGUGUGGCUUCCACCCUGGCUUACUAGCCAAGAUUGCUUUCUUCAUCGUCUCCACUGCCUUGUCCAUGUCAUUUUGUACACAAUAACCAAGUGCCAGACGAUUCCAUGAGCUCCCAUUGGGAUGCUUCCCACUUGCCUCGAGUUGCCCUAUGAGUGAUAUUGCUUUUUCCAUAUGACCCUUCUUGCAGUAAGCACUUAUGAGCAAGUUUGGAAUUCGAAUGUCAAAGUGUACCCUGUUUGUUUCCCACUCAGCAAAUAUCUUCUCCGCACCGUCAAGAUCAUCCAACUUUUCUAGUCCACGUAUCAUACAAUGAUAACUUGAAUUGUGACGCUUAACUUUUUGCUUGUAUUUAUUCCAUAUACGAUAGACAUCAUCUUUGUUUCCCAUACUAGUAUAGAGAGUAAUUAGCAUGUCAAUACCAAGCUUUUCUCUUUUCCCCUUGAGUCUAUACUCACAUUUCUUCAAUGACUCAUUAGCCUUUUCUAUAUCACCAGCUUUCAAGUAUCCCUUGGCAACAACUGUGUAAGGAUUCCAAUUGAUCAGCAGAGGAUCAGCUUCCAUCUUCAUCAGAACCUUCUCCAUCUCCCUAACAUCGGGAACAGAUGCAUAAGCAUUUAAGAGGAUACUAUAGGAAAUCAUAUCACCAGAAACUCCCUUGUCUUCCAUCUCUAACAUAAGUGACUGUAGCUUCUCAAGAUAUCCCAAUUUAGCAUAAAGGGUCAUCAUAACAUUGUAUGCUACUGUGCCAGCAUAGGCCAACUCCUUCAACUUUUGCAUGGUAUCUUCUGCUUUUUUUAUGACCAUUGCAUUAGCAUAACAGUUCAAGAGAGCACCAUAUACCUGGUAGGUUCUUAAAUCAUCUGGAAUGCUAGUGAAAUAUGUCUCUGCGGCUUCCAGACCAUGGGCUUUUGAUACUAAAUCCAGUUCGACUGCAAAAUCUCUAGGCGAUAUAUCAAAAUCUUUGGACUUCUUAAUCCACUCAAAAACCUGUGAUUGUAUAAGAAGCAGAAAUUGCUAUUUUGUAAACUGAACCAAUACAUAAGUUAGGAAAAGAAAAGUUAAGCACGCAACCUAGUCUUUUUUCCUUGGUUCCCCAAAGGCUAGUAUUUUGAACGAAAAUAUGACUGAUUAAUACGAACUUCAUGAUGUGGACGAAUUUAUGGAUCGCGCUUGUUAAAUCAACAUUAAACUGAUUCAGUUGAAAAUAUUUGUGGAACAUGCAAGUUUACAAGGUAUCUCUUACAAAGUCGAGUUGUACAGAGGAAUUAAUCAGAAACAGUGUUACCAAAAUCGCUUAAAGCAAGGCUCAAAACAUGUUGAGCGCUUCGCCUCGCUUAAUGUGCGCUUCAGUGUAGUCAUCAAAGUUCUAAGACAAACUUAUCCACAUAAAUGAGCAUCUCUGAAGAGGUGACACUAAACAAUUCAUGUUUGUUACUAGUCUUUAAUUAAACAUGUACAUUUUGUAUUUUUCUCAUUGUGCCUUUUUUACAUUGAAGUCCACACUUUAUUUGAACUUCGCGCUUAAGCCCUAACGAAAAACAAAGGUCAUGUUGGAUGAAGGAUAAUAAUUUGGUUCAUGUAUAGUUUAAAGAUUCACUUCAGGACCUGGUUGACUAAUCAAAUGAAGCUCUUGUUUCUAUGGGAAGAAUAAUAAGAGAAAAAGCAGGUAAGGAGAGGACUGUUUUAGGAAUAGUUAUCAAAGGUGCGCUUAAGGCCUGAAGCGAGGCUCGAAACGUGUUGAGGGCUUCGCCUUGCUUCAUGUGCGCUUCAGUGUUGUCAUCAAGGUUAUAAGGCAAACAUUUCCUUGCCAAUGAGCCUCUUGUGAAGAAGUGAAACUAAAUAAUUGAUAUUUCAUUUUAUCAUAAACUUUUUUCAUUUUCUUUGGUCAUAUAUUUGUCAUCCAUGUUUAUAAUUAUUAGUCUUGGACUAAACAUAUAUAUUUGUGUUCUCUUCUCCCUUUGCGCCUUUUUUCAUCAAAGCCCACGUGAAGUCCCCAUAGACCUAGAGUGUUUUUGCGCUUUUUUCCUUUGAUAACACUUUUUAGGAACGACUCUUAGAAUACUCAAAAGUCCAAAACCAGACAAGCCCAAAAACUCUACAAGAGCUAAUCACACUUCUUAGCUUAAAACUUUCGAAUUGAUUACAAUGUGUUUGUAUUUAUUCGAACAAAGAAAAUAUUUGCAAUAUAUAGUUUUAACAGAAAUAGAAAUUGCAUAGACUGAUAGAUAGUUCUUCGGCUAAAGUGCUUCUAAGAAUGUAGAUCGCUCUAAUCUUAGGCGUUAAUCUUAAUUCCUCACUAUAACAAAUUUAUUAGCAAAUUACAUAUGAAAGCAACACUUUCCCACCCCACCCGCCCCUCCUAAAUUUAUAUCCUCAAAGAGAAGGGACUAAAAGGAGUCUUAGAACUCUAGGCAUCAUCCUAAAGAAAGGUAAACAAGAGAAGUCUUUAAAUCCCUAUCACAUCCAAUUAAUGGCCAAACAGAGUAACAUUAACAAAUUAAUGGUUAAGCAAAUUGUUGCAGUACAAAAAACUUAAACUAAGUAAGAUCCACUUUGAAGCAUCUUCAGUCUUAAGCCUGGUAUUAAGGAAUAAGGCUGAUGAAGGUUGACAAACAACAUGAUGAUAGUCAAACUAUUCUAUGGAUUCAUGGAUAUUUUGCGAUUGAAGCUAAUUGAUAAAUAUUGCAGUCCAACACGGGUUAACCAGAACAUUCACUUGUAAUGCUGAAUCGUAAAUAAGGAUGGUUCAGUCCAUAUACCAUCCCUCCCAUUACCAUAAUAGGAUAUGCGAUUAUCCUUAGUGCUUUUUGUGCUGAAGAGACUAAACAAAACUUAGCCUCUUAAAAUAAUGAGGAAUUUGUACAUGAAGCUGAAGCAAUACGUAGCCUCUUUGAAUCCCUAAAAGAUUAAAAGGGAUUCCUUAUUGGAUGUGUGGCAUACUAGAAAAAAUAAGAUUAGAAAUGAAGAUAUUCGGAACUGGGUCUGAGUGGCCUCUGUGGAAGACAAGAUACGUGAGGCAAAACUGAGAUGAUUUAGCCAUGUGAAGAGAUACACGAAUGCCUAGUGUGGAGGUAUGAGGUAUUGAUAGAGGUUGGACAAAGAAACUAAUGGAGAGGUGAUUGUGAAAAGGUGAUAGAGAGGACAUGACACAACUUCAACUUAUCAAACACAUGAUCUUGGAUAGGAGCUUAUGGAAGAUACCAAUUAGGGUCAAUGGUCAAUAAGUAGUUGAGUGUUGUCUCACUUAUCUUUCCAUAUUCAUAGUCGUACUAUUAUUCUUGUAGUUUCUAAUUCUACGUUGCUCGGACUCUUCAAAAAUGCCAACGGGUGCUUGUUGAAUUCGCCAAAAGUAGUGUAUUUUUGGAGAAUCCGAGAGGGGUGCGGCAUGAAAAGUAGAGAGUCCGCGCAACUAAGAGUUUCUUGUUUCUUCGACUUCUAUCACACUUAUUCUUUCUUGUACUUCGAUUCUCGUAUUUUUUCAUUAUUUUAAUGCCUUGUUUACUUCUUUUCCUGAGCUGAGCAUCUAUUAGAAACAACCACUCUAGGUCAAGGUAAGGUCUACAUACACACUAUCCUCCCCACAAGCCACUUGCGGCGUUCUCCUUCUAUGAGUUCUACCACCAUAUGAACUUCAACAACAGACCAAAUUCAAAAACUCCCCCACCCCCACCCCCAAAAUGAAGUUCGUUUCAAUUAGUAUGAUUUUCGCAAAUCAAUUAUGUAAAGGAAAUAAUCCAAAUUGCAGAAGUAAAAAGCAAUACAAAAGACAGACCUGAAGGGCAUGAUUGUAGCGACGGUAAGCUCGAAACUGUCUGACGAUGAUCUGUAGGUCUUCAUACUUAAUGGGAUUUUGCUCAGUAACCCAUUUGUCGAGUACAGAUAUGACGGAGUCCUUAGAGCGCGUCAAAUAGAGUAGCCUACUGUUCAGAGCAUUCUUUGGAGACGCUUGUUCAUCUUUAUCAGGCAAAAAUAAGGAGGCUAGGGUUUCAGUAUUUGUAGAAUAUGAAGAAGAAGAAACCCUUAAAAAACAAGUACUGAAUUUCCACCAUGACUGUUGGACAAGUUUCACCAUUCUUACCAGAAAUGCAGAGUAUGCCUCACUGUUUCACAACACUCUUGUAACCCUUCUUGCAAUAAAAAAAAAUAUUAUUUUAGUUUCACUUGUUAAAAAGGCCAUUUGUUAUACUUAUGAUUUAAAACAAAUGAUGGAUAUUUAUUUAUUGUGAUUAUAAAUUAUUUUUAAAUUUAAAUUAUUAUUUCAUAUAAAAAAUGUGUCAUUCGUUUUUAACAAGAAAUUGAGUAGUAUAAAUUGAAACAAAGAGAUAAGUAAUUUGUUUAAGUAAGUGUAUUUUUAAUUUAUUGGACAACUUUUACGUAUAGCAAACAUACAAUUCAUAUCUGUAUGCUAUAGCAAAGUUUGAAUAAUUGCACUUCAUAUCAAACAUAUAAAUGUAUAAUUCGUUAUGUAUAUACAAUUGAAGCGAAUUGUAUAAACGAAGUGUAUAAAACGAGAAAGAGAAAGAAACUUAGGGCAGAAAAUUGUAUAAAACGAAGUGCAUUAAGCAAAUUGUAUGAUUAUAAGUGUAUAGAAUGAUGAUAUACAAUUUGAAUUUGUAUAAAAUGAGAAAGAGAGAAAGACAAAAGAGACUUGGGCAGUAAAUAUAUAAUUGAAUCGAAUUAUAUAAAACGAGAAAGAGAGAAAUUAUAUACAAUUUGAAUUUGUAUAAAACGAAAAAAAGAAAAAGCCAAAAGCAACUGGGCAGAGAAGUAUUUUUAUUGUAUAAUUAUAAAUGUAUAGGACGAAAAUAUAUGUAUUUGCAUGUGUAUAUACAAUUUUUUCUCGCUCUAUACAAACAGAAAUGCAAUUUAUACAUUUCGUUUCUGUUUGUAUAAGCGAGUGAGGCGAGCGAGACUAAGGAGAGUGACGAGCGAGAUCUGAGAGAGGGGAACAAAAAGAUAUAUAUUUAUACAAUUUUCUCUCACUUUAUACAAAUAAAAACAAAUUUAAUACACUUGUGUUUGUAUAAAAAUGAGAGGAAGCGAGCAAGAGAGGAGAGUGGCGAGCGAGAAUUUGAGGGAUAGAAGUGACUGAUAAACAGUUGCUACCGAACACAAUUAAAUCAAAGAGUGAUUAUAACAAUUAAUUUAGUUUAUUGAUUUGCCAUUAUAUACAAUUUUCGCUUAUUUAUUUGGUUGAUUUUUAUUUUCUUAGAAAAUGUUUUUUUUAAAUGUUUUGAUCAAUUAAAUAUUUGAAGCAUUUUCUCAAUUAAAUACUUAAAACUUAAAAGUGUUGGCUGUCAAUUUUGCCGAGUGAGUUUUAGUUGUCUAUGUUUUGAGUGGCAAUAAAAAUAAGUCAUAAAUAUUUACUUGUUUAUAAUUUAUCUUACUAGGGAUAACAAAAAAAUUAAAUUAAAUUGUUCGUCUCAAAAUAGUUAUGGUAUUUUUAAUUUUUAUGUGUUCUUUAGAAAACAUUAAUUAGGAGGGGUGUUUGAUUAUUAUUACUCCAUUCGUCUGAAAUUGUUUGUUAUGUUUGAUUAAUUUUUAAAGGUAAAUUAGAUUAUAUUAAUUCGAUAUUUUAAACAAAAAAAAUAAAUAUUUUGUAACUAUAUGAAAAGUACUAUAAAUUACAAUUUUAUACAUAUUAAUACAAUGAAAAAAUACAUCUUAAAAUAUUAAUCAAAAUUUUUAUAAUUUAACUCUAAAUAUAAAAAUUAUAACAAAUAAUAUCGAAGGGAAGGAGUACCAGGAGUAAUCUCUAUUCAUAAUUUCAUACUCUAUUUAUGUGCCAUGAUUGAAGUAUUUACUUACUUCAUUUCUAUUAUAAGUCACCAUUUUAAAAUAUCAUUUUAAAUUUUACGUUUUUAAAAAAAAUAAAGUAAGUUUAUCAUUAUAUCUUAUUUUGUGAUUUUUUAAAGUUAAAUUUUCAAUAAAUAAAUAUAAAUUUAUUUAUUUAUUAUUGACUUAAUUGACUCUUGAUCAUUGAUAAAUAAUUAUUUUUUAUAGAUUGGUCAAAUUGAUAUUUUCAAUGUCAAUAGCUCUCAAUUAUAAAAUAAGAAGAAUAAUAUCAUUUAUGAUUUAUAAAAUGAUGAUAAGAACCACAUAUAUAUAGGAACAGAGGAAUAGUCAAAGUCUGCAACUAUACAACAGAGCCAGAGAUCAUUCUUUUAGAUUCAGCAAUUGAAAGGCAGUAGAAAAUUUUGAUUAGUGAUCAUGACAAAAAUUUAGAAAAAUCAUAUAAUCCACUAUCCAGUGACAUAGUUUUUUCUUACUAUUGUCAACAAAUCUCCUCAUUGUCUGUUUCAUUAAGAGCCUCAGACUUGCGAUAUCCGAUUUCAAUAUACUUAUCUAAACUCCUCUCGAAUUCUUUCGAGCAGAGACCUCGUACUCUAAGUAAAUCUUUAAGCUCUUCUUCUCCUUGAGUAUCUCCUUUUGAUUGCAAAUACUUAACACAGAAAGCCAGACUCUGAAAGUGAGGCUUCCACCCUGGCUGACUAGCCAAGAUUGCUUUCUUCAUCGUAUCCACUGCCUUGUCCAUGUCAUUUUGUACACAAUAACCGAGUGCUAGACGAUUCCAUGUGCUCCCAUUGGCAUACUUCCCACUCUCCUCGAGUUGCUCUAUGAUUGAUAUAGCCUUUUCCAUAUGACCCUUCUUGCAGUAAGCACUUAUGAGCAAGUUUGGAAUUCGAAUGUCAAAAUGUACCCUGUUUGUUUCCCACUCAGCAAAGAUCUCCUCUGCUCCAUCAAGAUCAUCCAACUUUUCCAGUCCACGUAUCAUACAAUGAUAACUUGAAUUGUGACGCUUAACUUUUUGCUUGUAUUUAUUCCAUAUACGAUGGACAUCAUCUUUGUUUCCCAUACUAGUAUAGAGAGUAAUGAGCAUGUCAAUACCAAGCUUUUCCCUUUUCCCCAUGAGUCUAUGCUCGCAUUUCGUCAAUGACUCGUUAGCCUUUUCUCUAUUACCAGCUUUCAGGUACCCCUUUGCAGCAAUUGCGUAAGAACUCCAAUCAAUCAGCAGAGGAUCAGCUUCCAAUUUCAUCAGAACCUUCUCCAUCUCCGAAACAUUGGGAAUAGAUGCAUAUACAUUUAACAGGAUAUUGUAGGAAACCAAAUCACCAAAAAUUCCAUUGUCUUCCAUCUCUAGCACAAGUGAUUGUAGCUUCUCAAGAUAUCCCAAUUUAGCAUAAAGGGUCGUCAUAACAUUGUACGCCAGUGUGCCAGCAUGGCCCAACUCCUUCAGCUUUUGCAUGGUAUCUUCUGCUUUUUUAAAGACAUUUGCAUCAGCAUAGCAAUUCAAGAGAGCACCAUAUACCUGGUAGGUUCUUGAAUCAUCUGGAAUGCUAGUGAAAUAUGUCUCUGCAGCUUCCAGACCAUGGGCUUUUGAUACUAAAUCCAGUUAGACUGCAAAAUCUCUAGGCGAUAUAUCAAAAUUCUUGGACUUCUUCAUCCACUCAAAAAUCUGUGAUUGUAUAAGAAGCAGAAAUUGCUAUUUUGUAAACUUAACCAAUACAUAAGUGAGGAAAGAAAAGUAAGUACGCAACCUUGUCUUUUUUCCUUGGUUCCACAAAGGCUAGUAUCACAAACAAAAAUAUGACUGAUUAAUACGAACUUCAUGAUGUGGACGAAUUUAUGAAUUGCUCUUGUUAAAUCAACAUUAAACUGAUUCAGUUGAAAAUAUUUGUAGAACAUAUAAGUUUACAAGGUAUCUGUUACAAAGUCGAGUUGUAAAGAGGAAUUAAUCAGAAAUAGUGUUAGCAAAGGCAUACUUAAGCCCUAAAGUAAGGCUUGAAACAUCUUAAUGUGCUUUAGUAUUGUCAUCAACGCUCCAAGACAAACUUAUCCAGACAAAUGAGUGUUUCCUGAAGAGGUGACACUAAGCAAUUGAUGUUUCACUAAACAAUUCAUGCUUAUUAUUAUUAAUCUUGGACUAAGCAUGUAUAUCUGUAUUAUUUCUCCAUUGCACCUUUUUACAUUAAAGCCCACGUUUUAUUUGAGCUUACCACAAGGCUCAAAACAUAUGGAGGAUAAUAAUCUGGUUCAUGUAUAGUCUUUUUUGUGCUGAAGAGGCUGAAGGAAUACUUAGCCUCUUAAAAUAAUGAGGAAUAUGUACAUGAACCUGAAACAAUACUUAGUGUCUUCAAAUUCCUAAAAGAUUAAAAGGGAUUUCAUAAUGGAUGUGCAUACUAGAAAAGAUAAGGUCGGGAGUGGCAGUAGGCGAGACUGAGAUAUUUUGGACAUGUGAAGAGGACAUACAUGGAUGUCCCAAUGUGGAGAGGUAUGAGAGGUUGACUAUGGAUGGUGUCAGGAGAUAUAGAGGUAGACCAUAAAAGCUUAUGGAGAUGUGAUUGUGGUGAGGCGAUUAGACAGAACAUGUUGCAGCUUCAACUUAUGGAUGAUAUGAAUUAGGGUAGACUGUUAGUACAUAGUUGAGUGUUGUCUCAAUCCGUCCAUACUAGUAGUCGUAGUAUUAGACUUUCUAGUUUCUUCUUUAUUCGACUUCUGUUAUUAUUAUUUAUCAUUCCUUGUACUAUGACUAUCAUAUAACUUCACUCCAAAUAUUUUCUUGAGCUCAGAGCUUAUCAAAAACAGUCUCUCUAAUUCGAGUUAAGGUCAACCUACACACUAAGCCACUUAUGGGAAAUGAGAUUAUUCUCCAUUUCCCUAUUAACAUUCUCCCUCAAUACCAGAAAACAGACCAGAUCAAUUAAUUCAGUUUUAGCAAACCAACCAUGGAAAUUAUCUAAAGGAAAUAAUCAAAAUUGCAGAGGUAAAAAAGAAAGAAACCUGAAGGGCCUGCUUGUAUCGACUGUAAGAUCUAAGUUGUUUGAUGAUACUCAGUAGUUCUUCAUACUUAAUGGGAUUUUGUUCAGUAUCCCAUUUCUCCAGUACUGAUAUGACGGAUUCCUUAGAGCGAUUCAAAUAGAGUAGCCUAUUGUACAGAGCAUCCGAGGUUAACGGUUUACAAAUUUGUUCAUCUUUAUUAGUCAAAUCUAAGGAGGCUAUAGUUUCAGCUAUUGUAGAAUAUGAAGAAGAAGAAACCCUAACAAAACAAGUUCUCAAUUUCCACCAUGAUUGUUGAACAAGUUUCACCAUUCUUACCAGAAAUGCAGAGCAUAUGUCUCACUAUUUCACUCUUCAUUUUAACCCUUGUGCCAAUAAAAAUUGUCUCACAGGCAAAUUGGAUAAAUAUAUUCGAACCCAUGAUAAAUGAUACGCAAAUAUUUACCCUCAUAUUUUUGUGAGAUAUUAAUGUUUCUGUGCGAAAAACUAGAGUAGAUAGGAAUAUAAUACUCGCUCGAUAUUGUUUGUCAUGAUUUCUUUUUUUAAGUUAAAUUAUAAUAUUUUUUUACUAAAAAUGUAAUUUUUUAUUAUAUUAAUAUACAAUAAAUUGUACUUUUCAUAUAGUUGUAAAAUAUCUAAUUUUUUUAGUUUAAAAUAUCAAAUUACUCUUUACUUUUAAAAAUUAAUCAAUUGACUUUCAAUAACAAACAAUUUUAGACGAAGAGAGUAUUUGUUUUUUUUCCUUUUUUAGGUUAAAAAAGGAUAUAUUUGAAAAUGAGUUAAAUUUCAGAUUCAGAAAAAUAACUUAGCCUUUUUUAAUUUUUUAGUCUUUAUUUAUAAAUUUUGCCGUGUAAAUUUGAGUUGCUACUUUUUGACUGAUUAAAAAACUGAUAAUGUUUUGUUCUAGAUUUGUUAACUAACAACACAAACCUGAAGAAAAUUGACAACAAAGAUUGUCCAUUUCCUGAAAACUUCCUAGUUUAAUAAUCCUUCCGUCCAUUUUAACUUGUUCAUAUAGAUUUGAUACACUCGUUAAAGAAUAAUAUAUAAAAUGAUACAUUAAAUUCGAAAUUCUAUGUGAAUUCAAUGUAUUUUUAAUUUAAUAUUACAAGAUUCAGAAAUUAUUUUAAUUUUUUAAAUUUUGUGACAAGUCAAAAUCAGACAAAUGAAACCAGAGUGUAAUGCAAAACGUGCCAAUUAAGAAGACUAUUAAACUAAUUCAUGUCCCAAGAAGUCAUCUAAUCAUGGCCAAAUAAUAUAGACAAUAUUUUAGUCUAUGCUCUUACUGUCUAUAUUCACACGUUGGUUGUUACAGAUGAUAAAAUAAUAAUCUAAUUCAUAGAGCAGGUAUGCAGUUGUUAGAUUUUCAGAUUUUUCUCAUUUGAUCUUUGUCUGUACUUUGAUCAAUAUUCUGAAGAUGAGUGUAUCUAAAAAAUUCAUUCAACAGCUUAUUGUGUUUGACAUAUUUGUCGCGCUGUCAGUUACCAGUGGUGUUGUGUUCAGUUCAGGAGUUGCUGAUGGGAAUAUCAAGUGCCUUCAGACGGAAUUAGAAGCUCUUCUCAGUUUCAAACGGGAGUUGUUAGAUGUCCGUGGACGUCUUUCUUCAUGGGGAAAUGAAGGAUUUAAUCAAGAUUGUUGCACAUGGAGAGGUGUCCAGUGUGACAAUCAAACCAGUAAUGUCAUUAGACUCGACCUUCGUGGUCCUUCUGGUCCUAAUGCGUCUGCUGCCAUUGCGCCGUUGAUAGGUAAGAUAAGUCCUGCCUUACAAGAAUUGAAGCAGUUAAAGUAUUUGGAUCUUAGUUACAACCGAAUUUCAGGAGGUAUACCGGACUUUCUUGGUACUCUGAGUAAGUUGGAAUACCUCAACUUAUCUUGUAUUGGUGAUGAUUUUACGACAGUUCCUAAACUUGGCGAUCUUUCUAGCUUAAACACCCUUGAUUUGAGCUAUAAUGAUUUCCUAUCUGUGAAUAACCUUGAGUGGAUUUCGAGUCUUCAUCAAUUGAGAUACCUUGCCAUACGUUACGUUAAUAAUCUGAAUAAUUCUGUAUAUACCUGGCUGUUUAAGUUGAGCAAUCUGACUCACCUUGAUCUCUCUGGUAAUACUUUAUCUGGUCAAAUUCCUGAUUCUUUUUGUAAUAUGAAAUCCUUAAAACGCCUUGAUCUGUCUCGGAAUACGCUUGGAGGUGGCUUCCCUAGAUGUCUUGGUAACAGUAGUGAUUUGAAGUUGUUGCAACUGUCUUCCAACAAUCUAGACGGGCAGCUACCUGAGAUAAUGAAUAACUUGUCAUGCGUGUCACAUUCUCUCGAGUACCUGAACCUAGAAGAGAAUCACAUUGGUGGUUCACUGACUGAUAUUGUAGCAAAGUUUGCAUCUUUGAGAGAACUGAGGCUCGGACGUAAUAAGUUGAAUGAAUCCAUCCCGGGAGCUGUGGGAGAACUACCAAGUCUAGUUCUUCUGGAUUUAUCUUGGAACAGAAUCACAGGAUCAGUCCCUGAUCUUUUUCUGUUAUCGUCGUUGAGGGAAUUGUAUCUUUCUCAUAAUCAGUUAACUGGUGUAACGGAGAGUAUUGGACGUCUUUCCAAACUUGAGAAGUUGUACCUUGACUUCAAUCUGCUUGAAGACACAAUAUCUGAAGCUCAUUUGUUCAAGCUCUUGAAAUUACGUGAGCUGGACCUCUCUUAUAACACUCAACUACAUAUUCGAGUCAGUUCAGAUUGGCUCCCGCCUUUUCAGCUGGAUCUCAUUCGUUUUACCCACUGCAAAUUGGGUCCUCAAUUCCCAAACUGGCUGAGGAAUCAAAACAACAUUUCCGAGCUUGAUUUCUCAGUUUCUGGACUUUCGAGAGACGUUCCUAGUUGGUUCUGGGAGCAGUUGCCUGGAUUGACAUUCUUAAACCUUUCUUACAAUGAUAUAGGAGGAAAUGUACCCGAUCUCUCAAAGAAGAUGAGUGAUCUUCUUUGUAUAGAUUUAGCUACAAACAAAUUCACCGGUCCAAUACCACGAUUUCCUACCAGUGUUAUAACAGUUGAUCUCUCCAACAACAUGUUCUCCGGUACCAUCUCCUUCAUUUGUGACAAUUUUGAUUACUUGGGAUAUCUUGAUCUCUCAGACAACAGGUUGUCCGGAGUGCUUCCUCACUGCUGGACGCUUAGAAGUAUCAUGCAUCUCAACUUAGGGACUAAUAACUUCUUCGGGGAGAUACCUGAUUCGAUAGGCUCAUUGCAGACAAUGGGAAUGCUACAUCUUCAAAACAAUCAUUUGACAGGAGAACUACCUCAGUCCCUGGCAAAUUGCAAAAAGUUGAGGGUUAUAGACGUUCGGUCUAAUAACUUGUCUGGUGAAAUUCCAGAAUGGAUUGGGAACAACAUACCUGACAUCAUUAUUGUUAUCUUAAAAUCCAACAGGUUUAGUGGAAGCAUACCUUCAACCAUAUGCCAGCUAAAAGAACUUCAAAUCUUGGACUUAUCUGAAAAUAAGAUAUCCGGGAUCAUACCAAAAUGUAUCAACAACCUCACUGCAAUGACCGAAGAAGAGAGCACAAUGCAACAAAUCAAGAGUUGGUAUUUUCAAGUCGAUGAUGAAGGUAAUGUCAAAAUAAAUGCCUCAUACGAUGAGACAACAGUUUUGAUGUGGAAGGGACGACAAUUUGAAUACAGCAGCAUACUUGGUAUGGUAAAGAGCCUCGAUCUUUCAAGCAACAACAUGGUGGGAGAAAUCCCUAUUGAAAUUACAUCUCUUGUAGGUUUGCACGGUUUGAACCUGUCGAGCAACAACUUAACGGGCAGCAUCCCUCUGAGGAUUGGUGAAAUGAAGGCACUGAAUUUCCUAGACUUAAGUACAAAUGAUCUUACAGGGGAAAUUCCUGCUAGCCUUUCACAGUUAAGUCACUUGGGAGUCUUGAACUUGUCUUGCAACAACUUGUCUGGUCGAAUCCCUUUAGGCGAACAGUUACUAACUUUCAACAACAGAUCCUACAUUGGCAAUCAUGGUCUUUGCGGCUAUCCACUAACAGAAGCUUGCUCUCUGGAGGAACUUCCUCGAGACUCAACGUUGAGUGAUGAGGACGAGUUUAUAACUCCAGAAUUUUAUAUUAGUAUGGGAAUCAGCUUUAUUUCUGCAUUUUUGGGAGUCUCAGCUCUGAUGUUGAAUAGAAGGUGGAGUUAUGGUCUACUUAGAUACUAGCAAAUCAAUAAUGUAACAUCACACAGUUAAAUGUAGGUUUACUUACAUACCAUGAUAAGUAGCUAUAUAAUCUCGAGUUCUUGAAACUUUGCAUUUGCCUGAAUUUUUAUUCGAUGUGCAUUGUACACCACACGAAUCAGCUAAUCCUCGAAUAUUUAUACUGUACGAGUUGUUUAUUUAACCUUUAUGUCGUUUUCUCAAGCAAAACCAUUCAUUUUAAGGAGCACCAUAGAUCAUCUGAGUGCAAGCAAGAGCAAACCUCAUCCUCUGCCUCCCAUUUGGAACUCAAUAUUGAUAGCUUGAAUUACUGAUUACAUGAAAUAAUUAUAAGAUGUAUACUUUUUAAAUUUGUCUCUUUUUAUCUGUAAUUUAAAUUUUUUGUUAUAAUUUUAUUUGUUUCUAUUAUUUUAAAUUCUUUUUAUUUUUAUUUCUCAUUAUAUAUUAUUUAUUAUUAUAUUUCAUUUUCUUGUCAUUCUCACACUAUAUUUUUAUGCUAUUUUUCGUCUUAUCUAUUUCAUUUAUUUAUGUAUUCCGUCUUUGUUUUUUCAUUAACAUAAUUUUGUUAAUAUUUUUAUUUUUAUAUUGAAGUAGAGUUUCUUGUUGAAUAACAUUAUAGAUUUGUCUUUUAAAUCAUAUUUAUAUAGGUUACGUUGAAAUUUGACAUAAGAGUAUUACGUUAGGAUUUUUAUUUUGAAUUAUAAACUUUUGUUAUAUUUUCAAUCUCAUUUGUUUUAGUAGAAUUGACUUGAUAUUUCACAAUGUAAGUCAUUUAUUUUUUUAGUUAGACUUAAUAACUUGUUUCUUUAUCAAAUAUUUUCAUAAUUUGUGACAUUAUAUUUAUAAUAUUAAUCUUUUUGUCUAACAUGUAUUUUAUAAUGCAUGUAGAAAUUUCGUACUUUUAACUUUUAUUAUUAAUUUGAUUAAUAUAUACUAUAUUUAAAAAACAUAAAUUUUUUGUUGUAAUAUUAAUUAAGAAUAUAUGUUUAUUGACGAAAAUAUUUUCAAAAGAUAAUAUAUAUUUUAAUUAUUUAAUUUGAAAUCAUAUAUAAAAUCUCUUAUUUAAUAGUUUAACCUUAUAAUUAUAGUUGUGUAACAAAACAAUAUAUUAAAAAGUAAUUACUAUUUUCUAGUACUCCCUCCGUCCUCAAUUGUUUGUCAGGAUAAAAUCAUAUAUUUUCCUCAAAACAAAAUUUAAUACGAAGUGUAAUUUGAUUAAUAUAACCCUACUAUAUUAAGAAUAUUAAAAGUUUACAUAAUUUUUCAACUAAACAAAAUGAAAUAAUUAUUAAGGACAAAAAAAAACUAAUUAUUUCUUGAUUGUUUAAAUUGACAAUUAAUCUUCGCAUCUAUUUUCAGUUUGGUUGAGAUUCUCAUAUUAAAUUUCUUGGUUUUAAUUCUAUCAAAUUGAUUCCUUUUGAAUAAUUAUACGAUGUGCCAUUUUGAGAGACUAAAAUAAAUUGUUCCUUUGCUAUGUAUUUUCAUGAGUUUUGUCACGAUCCAAAAAUGGGCGUGAUGACACUCGUCUUAUCCCACCAAGACAAGUCAGCCUAAAACUCAACCAUUACAAUAAAGUGCGGAAGUAAAAUAUAAGUAACUUAAUAAAAAACCCAAAACCUGGUAGUCACGUGUACAAACCUCUAAAGUAUUACAAUUGAUUCAAAAGAAAACUCAAGUCUCAAAUGAAGUUGUUUCUAGAAUAGAACAAGAUCAUAAUUAAGGAGAAGAAAGUCUGCUGCGAUGGAAACAGCCACCUGACAAAUCUCCAGGAAGCCUCGGAAAAGAAGAGAAUGACAAGUACAACAAAAAUCCAGGCUCAUAACCUACAAAAAUUUGUAGAAGCAAGGGGUGAGUACCAAAUCACACGGUACUCAGCAAGUAAACCUCUAAAUACAAGCUAAGGGUAUGAAAUAUGGGUACUCCUACCACCCCCAACCGAACCUCUACAACUACAACCUGCAUUAAAAAUCAACCCAACCUAACAACUCAUAGUUUACAUAGCACGUAGCUCAACAACACUUAGACAAAUUAAAUAUCCUCAACAACAACACUUCAACAAAUUACAUAUCCGCAAUAACAAGCUCAACAUUGAUCAAUCACAAGUUCCAUAGAAAGGUAAUCAGAAGAUCAACAAAACACGAUAUCAAGUUCACUAAUGAUAAAUAUGUGCAAUGCAAUGGAAUACAAUGUCAAGUAUAAUGAUGCAUGCCUGACCUAGUGAUACACACCCGCUGUCUCUCAGUCCGGGACCCAUGGGGGACAUAUCUGUCCAUGCAUCUGUCGCGGCGCACGACACGACCCUCGAUAAUAGUAACCAUCGUGGCGCGCGAUACGUCCCUCGAAAUAUAGUAUCCAUCGCGGCGCGCGAUACGUCCCUCGAAAUGGUACAUCCUCUUAAGUACCCAUUCUAUCUCAAUGCACAUAACACUUGUCACAACCAAUGCCUCAGAAUAAUGCAGAUGAGAAUUUCACACAAAUAAUGAGGAGAUGAUUAUUUUCAUAACGUCGCACAGUUCACAACCACACAAACAUGAAGUUACAUCAACAAUGAUUCAACAAGUCUUCAACCCUUUCUCAACACAUCACACGUAAACAAUUAAGCACAUUGCCUUUUGUUAUCCCUUUUUUUCAUCAUUAGAAUUAACCAGUGUGGACAAGUCAACCCAUCACCAAUCCCGUUACUCCCAAACAUAUACCACAAGGAAAUACACACAUUUCAUACACUUAACAAGAAUUUAGAAAUCCACUUGCCUCAAACAAUCGAACAAUCACCCCGGGACUUGAGCCUUCCCGUUUCGCUGAGCUUCCAAAUUAAUACCAUCUAUUCAAGUGAAUAUGCACAAUAAGGUUUUGGAACUAAAAAACACCUAUAUAAUUAUGUGUCUAGUCUUGACCCAAAAACUCGCUAUAUACAAAGUUUAGUACUUAGUAGUUGAUCUUGAUGGAAUGGUCUUGAGGAUGAGCUCACUUUGAGAGAUGAACACCGACUAGUAGGUUAUAACUCAAGCUUUUUGUAUGUUUGUCAUUAUUCUUCCUCCUCCUUCUUCUUCUUUAUGUUCGAGGACGAACAUGAUUUUUAGUGGUGGAUAAUGUAAUAACCUGUCAUAUCAAUUUUUGAAAUUUUUUUUUGAUAUGACAGGUUAUUACAAGUUUAUCUUGUUGAGUAAAGUAUUUCGCUGCUUAGUUUGUCAGGUCCAGAGCUUGCUUGUGGCCAUCAAUAAUUUUCAAGUGUCAAUCUUGCAAAAAGUGUAGGUUUGAAGCGUGACAAAAAUGAAGGAAAUAUAAAUCUAAGUUAUUUAUAUUAAAAAAAUAGACAAAAACCAAAUCUAAUAAAUUUUUGAAUACUUAAAUUAAAUCAGUAAAUGCAUAGUUAAGAGACUAAAAAUAAUAAAUGCAUAAUUAAGAAACUAACACUAAUAAUUUUUUAAAUAACUAAAUCUAAUAAGAUAAUUUAGAGACUAUUUUAAAUCUAUUCCUAUAAUUAAAAGACUAUUUAUAUCAUUUUCUAGAUUUCUAAAUAUUAGAUGGAAGGGAAUUGAUUUUUUCUUUAAAAGAAUCAGGUCACAUUCUUUAAAAAUGUGUAUCUUCAAGACAUUUCAUUUAUGAAAAAGAAAAAGAAAAAGAACGUCUCGUUCGCCAUUAUUGUCACGAUGUUUAUAAACUAAACUCCAUCGAUUCUUAAUUAUUUGUUUGAUUUUUUAAAAUUAUUUUAAUUAUUUACCAUUUUAACAAAUCAAAAAAAGAUAUUUUUUAAAAUUUAUUUACUCUCAAUUAAUUAUUUUGAAAAAGAUAGAACUUUUUUAAAAUCUCAAGUUUUUGAUUCAUUUACUUCAUAAUUAAUAGGUGAAAAAUGGUGAACUCACUAUAUCUUUCUUAAUAAAUGUAUCAAUUCAAAAGUGAAUAAGUAAUUAGAGACAAUGAAAAUAGCUGAUUAAAAAAAAGAUUCCUCCGAUUUGAGAUUCAUCAAGUUGAAAAAAAGAACUGAGUAAAGAGUUAGCUGAGUUUUCACAAGAUCAUAAAGAUAAAAGGGAAAAGGUCUUGAUAUAUUCCUCAAUUUUAUCAUUUAGAAAUGACAUACCGUGCUAUAAAAGUUGGUAUUAAAAAUGAUUCAUAUAUACUCAUACUAUUAUACAAAUAACGAUAUUUAUAUACCAUUUCUAAUAGUUUGAAAGUUUAAUUGUCAUUUCUCACAUUUAAGUAUGAAAGUAAAAAAAUAAAAAUAAAAACAAAAAUAAUUUAGGUAUAUUUUUAACGCUUACCUCAUUAAACUAUCAUCAUUUUGUAAAUUUUAUACCAAAAAUGUCUCAAACUAAAAUUUAGUCUAUAUAGUUUAUCCAUGUAAUUUUAAAGUAUAAUACAUAAUAUAUGCUCUUUAACUAGACUUCAAAUCAUAUGUAUAUUCUUCAAUUUUGGAUGUACACAAGUACACAUUUAAACUUGUAUAAAGUUGAAUAAAUAGACACAUAUGUCUUACAUGUCAUCCUACGUGUAAUUUUUUGUUCUAUGUGGUGUCUUAUAUGUAUUGUUUUAUGUAAGACUCAUGUGUUUAUUUAUUUAAAAGUUGGAUAGUUAAUAAAAGUUAGAGGCAAAGUUAUAAUUUAAAACCAAGAUUAGGAUUAUUAUGCCUAAUUUUAAUAAGUCACCCUUGUUUCUAGCCACCAAAACAUAAGGAAACUCUAACCAGAUGCAGAAGGCUAAGCACAGAAAGUUGAAAAGAACAACAAACCUUACAACUUUUUUUUCCCCAUUUGCCAAUGGCUUCUUCCGGAGCUUGGACGUAUCGAGAUCGAACUUCCGAGUUCGCGUCUUUGUCCAAAACAUUGAAGAAAAUCGCAGGAACUACCGGAUCAGAUCAUGAACCACAGCAGAAUUCUGCCUCUUCUACCACAAAGGUACUACAAAUUCCAGAUCGAUCUGAAUUCAACAAGAAGGCUUCGAGAAUCGGAUUGACAAUCCAUCAAACCUUUCAGAAAAUCGAUAGGCUAGCUAAAUUGGCAAAGCGAUCAUCAAUUUUCGACGAUCCAAGCAAGGAAAUUCAGGAAUUGACAACUUCCAUAAAAAAUGAUAUCACAUCACUCAAUGUUGGAGUUUCUGAUUUACAAGCCCUUCAAGACAUGGAUGUAGCUGAUGGAACUCAUUCGAAAGAUACAAUUGUUCAUUGUACUGCGAUCUGUGAUGAUCUGAAGACGAGACUUAUGGCUGCUACAAAAUCAUUCCAGGAGGCACUUACAAUAAGAACGAAGAAUAUGAAAGCUCACGAAGAUCGAAAACAGAUAUUCUCUACAAAUCUCUCUAGAGAAAAUCCUUUGAAACAACCUACAGCAGAGCCACCUCCUUGGUCAACUUGUCAAUCAUUAACGGCAAUAGAUGCUCAGGGAAGCAACCAAUUAAGACGGAGAUUGGCUUCAGACAAUCCUCCGUCUAACGAAUUGGAAAUGUCAAUGUUACAAGAUCAGGUUCCGAGACAAGAAAGUUACUCUCAGAGUAGAGCAACUGCUCUUCAAAAUGUUGAAUCGACUAUUUCAGAAUUGGGCGGAAUAUUCACACAUCUAGCUACCAUGGUCGCACAACAAGGUGAGCUUGCUAUAAGAAUCGACGAUAACGUUGAUGAGUCAUUGACAAAUGUUGAAGGUGCACAAGGUGCUUUGUUAAAGUACUUGAAUCGAAUAUCAUCAAACAGGUACCUCAUGAUCAAAAUUUUUGUUGUUGUGAUCCUUUUUCUCUGUGUAUUUAUAUUUUUUUUGGCCUGAUAUCGGUGGAUAUUCACUGUAAUUGUUAGCUUAUUAGUAAUCAAAAAUCAUUUUUUCUCAAUAGCUUGCUCUGAGAUGUGUACUUUGCAACUUAGAUGCUGGAGUAGCAAAUUUCCUCCAGAUAAACAGACAAAUUAUAUCGAUACAUAUAUAUCAUAAAAAAACAAUUUGUGCAAAGCAUAACAGAAAAAAACUCUUUAAUUUUUUUAUUUUUUUUAAUAUUAUUAGUUAAAUCUGAUUAUAUUUUGAAUAAUUUAUAAUAGAAAUAUUUUGUUAAAGAUGGUGGCACAUACACACCUCAAAAAUUAAUAAUAAUUUCUUUUUUAUAUUUUAGUAUUUAAAUAAUCGAUUAGUUAAAUAAAAUGAAAAAUCCAAAGGUAUAAUGAAAAAAAAUUCUAAAGUCCUAAAUCGAACAUAAAAUUAGGUGAAAAAUAAUAAGCUAAAUAUUUAUAAAAUCGAUCGAUGUAUUAUUAGACCCUACGUUAUUAUUAAUUCAUGCGUUAAUAAUCUGAGUGUUCGAGUUUAAAUUUAUACUCCCUUUUUUUUUCCGCAAUCUUUAAUAUUGUGCAAGAUAAAAUAAAAUUAUUAAAUUCACUACAAUCUUAACCGGCAUGUCCCACUGUUUUACCAAACUAAACUUAAAUUAUUGUGCCUAUGUUUUCAUCUUUCGAGCUCAAUUUUAAUAGGCAUUAGAAUUAAAUAAUUUAAAGAACCAAAGACACAAAUUUUAAUAAACUAGACCUAAAUUAUUAUGUCUGUGUUGUUAUCAUCAAUGUAAUUCUUUUAUAUAGCAGUCAUGAUUAUCGAAUUCUCAUCGUAUAUGAGAUAAAAAUUAUCUCAUCACUAAAAUAAAAAUAAUACCUUCAAUUAAAUAUAAAAUAAAUUAAUACACAUUUUAUCUUUGAAAUUAUUAUAAUUUCAAAUGACCACAGGAAUAAAUAAAUUAAUACCAAGGUAGCACUUCCAAUAGCACAAAUUCAAACAAUUACAAACCCUACCAAAAAAAAAAAUACAAAAGAGAAAUGUUUACAAUUCAACACCCAAAUUAGCUACAAAUCACAAAUAUAGUAACCAACUCUAUCCCAAUUCCCAAACCCAAAUUCCAAAACCCCUCAAAAAUCACAAAAUUAUAAAGGGAAAAAAAAAACAAAGAAUAAAUCUUUUUCAUCUAAAUUUUCAAAAAAAAAAAAUUAAAAAAAUCAACUCCUCAUGUGUCUGACCUUGUGCCAACCCUUCUUGCAAGAUUCUCCAACAAUUUUCACUCCCUUUUUGAAAAAUGUCUUCAACUCUUUUGCUCUUUCCUUAACUUGUUUCUCAAAUCCACCCAUUUUUUCACUAUCAAAGAGAGGAUGAAAAAAAAAUCAAAAUUUUCAAGAAUAUAUGUUGAACUUGUAU